rnacentral:lncRNA from 1 species
AAGAGAGACAAAGCAGUAGAGUAAAGAAAUUUACAUCAAUAAAUCCAAUAAUAAAUCAUCAACAUGGCAAGAUCGCAACACAAACAUGAUUAGAACAACAUUAAGGACCAACCCAAAAACAAAAUUAAUAAAGAAAAAGCAAGCCUAUAAUGUCUUAAACAUUACAAGAACAAACAAAAUAACACCCACAUGAGAUCCUUUUCCAUUCAUAUAUAUAGAGAGUAACAAGAUCAAACAUGGGGUUUGUUGGUAAUAGUAUUCAUAACAACAUCAAUCAACGUUUCUUCAUGUUCUUGACCUUAAUCCAUCCUUUCUUGCAUGAUUCUCCCACGAUCUUGACUCCUUUCUUGAACAAAACCGUGAGCUCCUUGGCUCUCACCUUCACCUUGUUCUCAAAAUCACCCAUGUCUAGAGAUGGAGAAAGGGCGAGAAGGGGAGAGAAGAUAAUUAACACAAGAAAAGGAAUAACCUUUUAGUAGAGAAUCUAGAGGUAUAUAUGGACGAAGAGGAAGUUAGGGCAAGCUAAGAUUUGGGUGUCUCCUUUCUGUUAACGAGUAAAGAUAGUUGCUUUGCAAGCCUAGCACAGAGAGAGAGAUUCUAAGGAAAGAAGUGAUGGCUCUUCUUGGUUGGAGGCUACUUAAUGUUAAGGUAAUUACGUGGGAUCCAACGCAUUGAAGGACACGUGGCAAAGAUCAAGUGGGUUACAUGACUUUUUAGCUCCUGAUUGUCUCAUAUUAGACGUUGCGUGUUAUGGUCUUGGUCGAACUGGAGGGUUCGUUUUGUCAGGCAAUAGGCUUUAGUUUUGUCCGAGCUUCGUGUUUAAGACAGGUAAAUUUUAGUUACCAUUUCUCUGAAGAAUUGUGGUAAAUUUAGAUAUUUUCUAAAAAAACAGAAGCCUCCAAUAGAUUCUAUAUAUAAGAAAUUCUUACUGUUUAGAAAAAAGACAUAUUAGAAAUAAAAAUGUAUUUAAUUAAAAAAAUCAUAAUCUUUAAAUGAAUUCUUAUAGUUUUAUUUUUUAAAAAAAACUACUCUUAUCUUCUUAAACAAUAAUUAAGUAUUUAUAAAUAAAUAUAUAUUAAUUUAAUAAUUCUGUCAUUUCUAUUUAAUAUUUAUUUAUAAAUUUUGAUUUUUCUUGAAAUAUUGCUAAUGAAAUUAACUUUCGUCUCUCAUGAAGUAUUCUUGGAAAAUUUAAGAGAUUUUAGUUUUCACUUUAAAAUCCCAUCUUAAAUAAUACUACUACUAAUAAUAAUAAAAAAACAUAUUAUGCAACGACUUGCUUGCAUUGUUGACUUGCUAACCUAGAUGAGAAUCAAGAUUCCAAAGCAUUGCUAUUGGGAUUGAUUAGAUAUCCAGAUCAGAAGAAUAAUUAAUGAAGAAAAUAAAAUUUAAAUGUAAUAUUCUUAUUCUUUUUCUGUGGGAAUUUCUUCUUUCUCGUAAAAUAUGUGAACUUGUUUUUCCUUUACGAGGCCAUUAAUUUAGAUUAUUGCUCCAGCCUCCAACGGCAAAGCACUGACUUAAUCUCUCUCUCUCUGCUUGGGAGAUGGGACCAUAAACGCCAAAUGCUUUAAAUCAUAAAUACUAUUAAAUGAAAAAAAAUGGUUUGGGAACUUGGAACAGCUCAUUGAGAGGUGUUAAAGUGUUCUAACAAAGUUUUUUCCCCAGCCUGGAACAAGCCGAAAGGAGUCAAACUUGACACAAACCUUUAAUACCGUGCAGCCAUUGUGUAAAUACAAUUUAGUAAAGCAACUAGAAAGAAGUGUGUGUGUGUGUAUUGAUAACUUAUUAUUAUUUUUUAUAUUUGAAAUAAAAUACUUAAAUCAUUUAUUUUUGUUAAAAAAAAAUUUAUUUGGUUGCUACAAGAACCCUUAUAUUAACCACUUUUCAACUAAUAUUUUCACCAUCUUUAUAUUAAAUUUAGUAUCCGAUAUUGGACCGCCAUGAAUUUUCUUGUAGCACAAGAGAAAAGCUUGAAAUCGGCUGUUUUCCUUUCUAUCUGCAAAGAUCUUCAGGUGAAUGAAGCCACGAUAAUAGACAAAAAAUCAUGUGAGAAGUAAUUGAUGCACUUUUCAAGCACAUGGCACAGCUUAGCUUCCAUGCAACCAGAGUUUAUCAGGCAAGGAUGAUGAUGAUAAAGGGUCCCUUGUCCACCUGCAAUGUUCAGUUUUAUGUUUUACUUUUCACAGCCUGAGAGUUGAGCUUUAACAGCAUACUGGGAAUAUUACUAUCUCUUUAUCGGACAGUGAACACUUGGAGGAUUGCAACGGCUAUGGAUAAAGCUGAAGUUGGCAUCACUUCGAAUUUAAAAAUAUAAGGAGGACAUCAAGCUGCAGAUAAGAUCAAACGUCCUUGUGAAUUCGACUUUCAAGUCUUUUUUUAAGAUUUUGGGUCCACAGUGUGUUUAGAUUCUUUAGAAUAUUCAUGAUGUGGGCCAAUUGAUCUUGCUGUUUAUAUCAAGCAGCAUUAUUGGACGUUCGAUAUGGGCAGAGAAAAAAUGACUUUGAUGGCUAUAUUCCAAGGAGGAGGGGGGCGAAAGACAGACGAAAAUGUUUGAAGGAGAAUGAUUGGAUCUUCACAGGAACCAAGACUUUUGGUCCGAUCAUAAUUGUGUCUCCUUAAAAUCAAAUAUGGGUUCAACGUGGAAGCUUCAUGAGAGCAUCACUCAUUUCUAAACCUAAGGGAACGUGGAUAUUUUUGUCUGUUAAAUUAUAUUUGGUUAGUGUUUUGAAAUAAUAAUAAAAAAAGUAUAUUGGUGUUUGAUUGGAAAAAUAACUGUGUUGGGUUAAUUUUCAAAAUAAAAACGUGUUUGAUUAAAAAAAUAAUAAAAUAAAUAAAAAAUAAAUUUACCAUUAAAAUAGUUUUAAAAUGAUAUUUUAUCAUUUUAAAAUGGGAACAAUAAAAAAAACAUGUUUUUUAUUUUAUUUUUCAAUUAUCUCCAUCACUUUUGUUUCAAGACCAUAACACAGACUAUCUUAAAAAAAACACCCCUUUUAAUAUCUAUUAAUUCCAUUGAGUUAUUUAUAUUGAAAUUCAAUGCCAAACAUAAAUGACCCAUGUUGGUUUAGUUGUAGAAGAUCAUGGUGUAUAGUGUUUUUAAAAAUAGUUUUUUACUUGAAUGUAUAUUAAAAUAAAUUUUUUUAGAUUUUUUUUAUUUUUACAUUAAUAUAUCAAAAUUAUAAAAAAAAACUAAAAAAAUAUCAAUUAAAAUUUUUUUAAAAUAAAAAUACCUAAAAACAGAAUCAGAAACACUCUCAAACUACCAUCAAGAUGGGUAAUUCGAUACCCCCUUACCACAACAAAACUUCAGGUGCAAGAACUGCAAAAUGGCCAAAGAAAUGGGGAUGGCAAUGCCAAUAAUGCAAGGCCAAUUAAUAUAAAUUUUGCUUUUUAAAGUAAAAGUGCGGUAAAAAUUACUUAUUAAAAUACUUGAAAAUAUAUUAAAAUAAUAUUUUUUUUAUUUUUUUUAAAAUUAAUUUUUAGUGUUAGCAUAUCAAAACAAUCUAAAAAUACUAAAAAAAUUAAAUUAAAGCAAAAAUAACUCAAAUUUUAAUGAAAAACAGGUUGCACUACAACUCCAAAUACCCUCUCUGAACUACGCAUCAAUAAUCCAACGGUAACUUCUGAGUAAAUUAUAAGAAGAUCAAAGAUAUUAAAAUGGCUCAAAAAUUUAUAUUUAACUAAAAUAUGUUAUGAUCAGUGUCAGGGCAUUGUACAAGGAAUGUGUUAGAAUGGGAGAACAUAAGUUCCCAGACCAAGAAUAGGAGCAUCCAAGGACACACCCAAUUAUAAACAACUGUAUAAAAUUCUCACCAGAGAAGUGAGCAGCACUAAAAACAGCUGAGCUUAGUAAAACUGCCUGCUGCCAGUUCAUGGUAGAGGCAAGAGAUUUCAAUAGAAAGCCUCUGUAAACAAUUUCUUCCAGCAGGGGGGUGACAAGGCAAUAAACCAGGAUGCAGGCAACUUUCGAGAUGCUGCUGCUCAGAAGAAUCUCCUUCACAAUAGGGUUGUUCACAGCCUGAAAACAUCAUUUCAAGAAUUUAUCUCUGGAGGCCAAAUUUGUUAUCAUCAUUCAACCAAGAAAGAAAUAUCACAGCAAAAGGAUAAGUCACAAAGAACUCAAAUAAAAGAAUUAGAAAGCAUACACUGUCUACAGAAUAAAUUUACAGGAUGGUGUUACGAUGAGUUCAUACAUAUUAUUGAAGCAACAAAUAAUGGAAAACUUUGCAUGCCCUAUCAUGUAAAUUGGUCUAAAUCCCAAUUGAAUCUAUGGUAGGACCAUAAAUGCCAAUGAAAUCGAUUUUGGAUUUUUUCCAGAACAGAUGAUGCAUUCUGGACUCCCCUGUCCAUAAAACUAUCUAUUUUGCAUAAAAAAUUAGUCAGAUGAACAAAUCACAACAUAAGGUCGAGCUACAGGCAUUGUUAUGAUUAUUUUCCAAAUGAAACCACAGACUUGUAAAGCAACAUUAUAGAGGCUCUAUGCGUUUAGAAAUAGCAAACCUUAUGAAGUUGUGACAAAGUUGUUUCAAAUUAUAUGUACAACAUGGGCAAACCAUUUUGUUUCUGUUGCACAUACCUAUACCUAAUGCAACUUAAUGAAUGCUCUAAUAGCAGAAAAUGAAACUCCUCCGGACCCCUUAUUUCCCAACCUUUUUCUUUCAUGAUAUAUCAGUCUUCCUUUCACGUGAAUGGCAAAUCAUCGUUCCAAAAGUAUCAGUAGUCUUAGGGGGAAUGGAAAAAAUAUAGCAGUUCCGGUCAACUCAAUGAGUCUGAAAUAUAACCCGUACACCCACAAUAUUGUUGACCACUUUGGUUUAAAAUGGUCAAAACAGAGUUACAGUAGACUAUUCAUCACUUAGAAAUUCAGAGGAUCUAUCAACAACAAUUAAAAUCCAUAAAACCAUCCUGCAUCAAAUAAAAAGAUACCAAGAAAGUCAAGGUAGGGGGGAACUCAUAUUUGUUCCAUCUAUUGAAAGAAAAAGUAAGCUACUUAAGAUAACAACUCAAGCCUACAGGAUGGCGAAUAAAACUCUCUACUCUUACUUGAAUUAUUUUAAUUUUUUUUAUAAUAUAACCAUGACUUGUAUGGUUUCAUUUCAUUGUAUAUUGUUAUGAAAUCUCAUCUAAAAAAAUUUCAAACACAUUAUAACUUAGUUAAUCUUAAUAAUAGGUAUUAGAAUUGUACCAGUGAGCUUAAGUCAUUGAUCCCAAAAAGGAAUCAUCAAGAUUGAGGCGAAUCAAAAUUAAACUAAGCCAGAAAGAUCUGUGCAUAUUUUAUAAAAGCAAAGAAAAUCAGAAGCGCCAAAAACAAAUAGACAGUCAAUUAAUUGAUAAUACAUUAUGCCCUGGCUUCGUAUACAAAAUUUGAAUAAAGCCUCAUCCGGAAAUUGUCAAUGCACACCAUCAAUGAUAUAAAGAAGGCUUGAAAGCAUUUAAGAAAAGAAAUAGAUAAAUCCAAAAACCAACCUUAGGUCCAAUUAGUCUGUCAGCAACAAGUGAUGUAAGGAACACCAACAGAACAAGAAAGCCGAAACCUAGUGAUGAAGCCUGCAGCCAGUUCCUCUUCUUUGACAAUUCAUCAGUUUUAAAGAAGCUCACUACCUCAUAUUCUGGCUUAGCAGUGCUCUUAAGUAGAAGCAGAGAAGCAGCGAGUUCUAAAAUUUGGAUUGCAAGCAGUGAUAACACCUGCAGUAUAGAAAACAAAAAUCAUUAUGCAACUGCUUGGAUACAGAGAUGAACACCUGCACUGCUUCUAAUACAAAAUAUAUCGAGUUACCCUCUGCUGAAUGAAGUUCUUGUCAUGAAUGUUUGAUGAUGGCAUAUCAGAAGAUGACCAUACCACUGGUGUAGCUAAACAUGCAAUUGAUGAAGUCCUUGCCAGGAAAAUCCUAGCAAAUCAAUUUGUAUAAUAAUGAAAGCCAACUGACAUUCGAAUUAUUUAGAAAGAGUUCGUUUUGACACUAAAAGGAAAAGGAAAAGGAAAAGGAAAAGGAAAAAUGUGAAUCUUAUGGGUUUCUAUGAUUUACUGCAUAACGAAGAAUUAUUAAUACUGUCCAUGGAUCCAUUGUAAUUGAUACCCCCAUGGCAGAUUCCAUUCUAUGAAAAGAACACCUAGUUGUAUUGCGUAAAGUUCUGUACUAGCAGCUGCAUUUGGUUUUUGCAUUUGUCUAAGUUGUGGAUUAUUAGUCUCUGUUCGAUGAUGGUUCCCCCUAAAACGAAAAUCAUAAAUCUGGUCCUAAUCAAGAAAGGUACAGGUAUCAAUGCAUCUGGUUACCAAAUUGGCCACACCCUGCCUCAACAAGCUAUGGGUUUAGACUCAUGGUGCUUAGACUCAUGGUGCUUAGACUCAUGGUGCUUAGACCAAUAUGGAAAACAUUAUUCUACCAUGCAAAAUGAAGGUAAGAGAAACUCACUCACUUCCGUCUGAGGAUCAAGAACAGGUUGAUGCAAUACAUUGGCAACUAUAGACAAGCCUCCAAUACCCAAAGGGAUAUGAAAAUUGAACAUGUACAAAGCCAUAGUGCUCCAUAUACUCCCUCUCUCCCAUGGAAUAUCCAACGAAAGCACUGAAAAUUCCUGUCAGCAUUCACCCCACAAAUUAAAAGAAAAAGAAAAAGAAAAAGGAAACCAUGCUUACAUAUCACAACAAACCCCAUUACACGAUAAUUUAGCUAGAAAUUAACUAAAACUGAAAGAAAAAGCAAACCCAUUAAGAAAUUUGCUUCUGUAAAACUCAACAAAUCCAAACAUGGGUCAUCCUUACUAUACAAGAACAAACCCUAUUCCGUAAUUCUCUUUCAAGUCCUGUUAGCAUUCACCCCAAUGAUUAAAAAAAAAAAACAAGAAAAAGAUAAACCCACGUUUACUUAUCACAACAAAACCCCAUUUCAACAAUAUAACUUGACAACGACUAAAAAUGAAGAAACAAACCAAACCCAUCAAGCAAUUUACUGAGAACUACCAAUUUACAUACUCUGCAACUCAAAAACUAAACAAAUCCAAACAUAGGUCAUUUUCAUUAUACAAGAACCAACCCUACCAAUUGCUCUCUUGUCUAAGCGUGACAAGUUACGCAAGCUUAUAUUACAAUUUAAUGCAAGAAAAUAUCAUGAUAUACGGGUUUUGAAUAAAUUAUACAUACCUCAGUGGGUUUAUCAGUGAUUUCUUUCUUGAUGCAGCGGCAUUUGAGAGAAGAUUUGAAGCCGAGAUUGGAUUUGAAUUUGAGUUUGGAGGUGUGAUAGAGAGGGUUUGGAUUUUGAAUCAACGAUUUGUUAAAACUGAACCCAAACUUGGCGGGUAGUAUACCAACGGUUAGAUAAGGCGCCAUAGUACGCCUUUGCUUCGCUCCCUCUGUCACUCACUUUCUCUUGUACUUAUUAUAUGUGAGAGAAAAUGAAAUAAAACUAUAGAAAUUAAGGUAGUAUUUAUUACGACGGAUAAUGAUAAACUGAACAUAAUAAAAAAAAAAUUUGAAAUUGUUUGGUGUAUUUUUAAAUAAUAUAAAAAAUAAAUUUUAUCAUGUUCAGGUUAUUCUAAUUAAAAAAAUUUUGUCUCGUUAAAAAAAUAUAACAAGUUUGUUUAAUUCUCUGUACAAGGGAUAAUCUGAGUUAAUCUGGAUCAAUGUAAAAUUUUAAAAAAAAAUUGUUUUUAUAGUUUUAGAAUUGACUAGAGGGUUAACCUAAGACUGGGCUAGGUCAAGUUGAUCAUUGAUUUAGGUCAAUUUAAGAAUAAAAUUAGUUAUCAUUAUAGUUUUAAAACUCGACUCGAUGGUCAUUACAGGGUAAGGCUCAGGUUGUGAGUCAGAUUAAUUAUUGAUCUAGGUCGUAAGGAAAAAAAUAAUUAUUAUCAUAGUUUUAAAACCUACUUAGGGGUUGACCUGGGGCCAGGCAUUGAUGCAGGUCAAUGUGAGAAUAAAAAUGGUUAUUAUCAUAAUUAUAAAACCCGACUCGGCGAUCAACCCGAGAGAAGACCUAGGUCAUGGGUUGGGUUGACCAUUGACUGGGUCAAUAUAAGAAUAAAAAUAAUUAUUAUCAUAGUUUUAAACUCAUUUGGGGUCGAUCUAGAGUCAAUCCCUAGUCGGGUUGACCAUUGACCCAGUUCAACUUAAGAAUAAAAAUUGUUAUUAUUAUAGUUUUAAAAACUGACUCAUGGGUCAACUCGAGACAAGGCUCGGAUCACAUAUUGGGUUGACUAUUGAUCGAGUCAAUGUAAAGAUAAAAAUAAUUAUUAUUAUAGUUUAAAAACUCGACUUAAAGGUUAACUUGGGGUCAAGUUUUGGUUAGGUUGAUUAUGACCAAGGUCAAUUUAAAAAUAAAAAUAAUUAUUAUUAUAAUUUUAAAAUUUAAUUGGGGAAUAAGAUGAUACCUAAAAACAAGUGUAACUAAAUAGAAGUGUCACAUCAAUUUUACCGUUUUUUCUUCGUGUUAAGUCCCUUUUUUCCAAACGUUAUGCAGACAUUUUAUAUAAAAACAUUGUUGUUUUCUCAGAUACUUCUCAAUUGUUAGGAAAAAAAUAAACACUGAUGGUCCAAUUUAGCAAAUUUAUUUAAUAAUGGUUUAAUCAUGUUAAGAAAAAUUACACUAGAUAUUAUAAUAAUUAAAUAACAAGAAAAAGGAUAAUUUUUUUUAUUUUCAUAAUUAUCAUUAAAUAACGAAGUUAUUUACAAGAGAUGCACAAUUCCAUAUCGCUCUUUUUUUUUUCUUUUUAAGUAAAUAAAUAGUUAGAUUUCAGGCAUGAACGACAAUAUAAGUUAAGGAAUGAAUUGCUUUUAAUAAACAAAAAUAAUGGAUAGGUUACGCAUCAUAUUUUGUCAUGAUCGAACACAGAUUUUUCGAGGCUAUACAUAACAUUUUAUAUAUAAAAAAGCACCAUUGUUUUCUGCUAAGGUGUUUUUUCAAUAUUUACCAAGAAAAUAAAAAUAAAGUCAUACUCUAAGUUAGCAACUUCAUCAAAUCAUGGUUUAAUUAUGUUAAUCAAAUAUUAAAGUAAAUAACAUAAUUAUCAUAAGUGCAGUUUUUCAGACGUUAUGCUUACAUUUUAUAUAAGAAACAUUUAAUUUCUUUUUGUCAAUUUCUAGGAAGAAAAAUAAAGAAAAUCUCUAAGUUAAGAAUAAUUAUCCUAUUUGAAGAAAAAAAUGUAUGUAAUUAGACGAAAGGUUAGACUAAAUAACUUAAUUAUCUUAUUUGAAGGGAAUUUUUUUUAGUUGCAUAAGUAUCGUUAAAUAAUUAUGCACAAUUUCAUAAUUUUCAUGUUUUAAGUAAAUAAAUAAUUUCAUUUCAAACAUGGCAAUGUAAUUUGAAACUAAAGUGGGUUACUUUUGUUAAAAAAAAUUGCUUUUUACAAUGCAAACAAGUUGAUGCAGGAGUUUUUUUUUAUAAAAAAAAUAGAUAUUAAUUUUUCUUUUCUAAUUUUAUUUAUUUUAUAUUUUUAUUAUGUUUUUUUAGGGAAUAGCUUUUCUACUUUAUUUUUUAUUCAGUAUUUUCUCAUCAAUUGUUAGGAAAAAAAUAAAAUCAUAGUCUAAAUUAGCAAUUUUAUAUAAUCAUGGCUUAACCAUGUUAAACAAAAAUUAUAUUGAAUAUUAUAAUCAUUGUAUAACAAGAAAAAAUAUAUAAAAAAAAUUAUUUGCAUAAUUAUCAUUAAAUAAUGAAAUUAUUUCAAUAGAUGCAUAAUUUCAUAACGCUAACAAAAAGAAACUCCUUUUUUUAUAAGUAAAUAAAUACUUGCAUUCCAACAUGACAAUAUAUUCACAAUGGUGUGGGAAAUAUAAUAAGCAUUUGCUAAGCACAUAUAUAAAAAAAGAUUCUUCCUAUAUAUGGUGGUAUAUAUGGUGGGUGGGUGGUUUUGAAGAUUCAGAUAUUCUUGAAACUGCAAAUUUUAAUGUUGUUUGUAAUUAUUGAAGUUAUGUAUUUUUAUUGUAAUAAGAGGUGUCCGAGAAUAUAAUAUAGUUGUUUUUUAAAGUAUUUUUUACUUAAAAGUAUAUCAAAUAAUAUUUUUUAUUUUUUUAAAUAUUAUUUUUUAUAUUAGAAUAUCAAAACAAUCUGAAAAUACUAAAAACAAUAUAAUUUAAAAUUAAAAAAAUAUAUAUUUUUUAAAUACUUCUAAAAUAUAAAAACAAAUAGAGCAUCGACAGAACCUAAACUUUUAUAAUUAAAAUUGAAAGGAAAAUCAUGAAAGAUAAAAACCGAGGACUUGAGAUAACCCUAAAGGUUACUUAAAUUCUCACACAUAAUCUCGUAAAAAGUGUUGUAAAAAUAACUUAUAAUUGUUUAAACAGGCACUAAACAAAUCUAAUUUGGAAAGGUAAAGAAACCCUAAAAUAGUUAAAAAAAUUAAAUAUAAAAUUAUCUAAGAAAGUACUAACUAAGAAUUCAAAAACAACUUUUUCUAAUCCUAAUUCGAAAAUCUUUCGAUCUUAAUUAUCUAGUUAUAUAGGGUAUAAGAUAUGUAGAACAUAUAUCCUGUCUAAAUUAAUCUGAGCAUAGUAUAAUUGUGCUUAUUUUUCUUAGAAAAAAAAAAAAACUUGUAUGACAAGUACAAACUUUUUGUCAUAUGAUCCAUAAAGAUAUUUGCUAUACAUUCCAUAUUCCAUGUACGGAUGCAAGAAAUCCAAAUAUAUUAUGCUUGAUGAAAAGGAUAAUAUUAAAACAACCUGUUCACUCCACCGUGGAUGCCUCUAUGUUGCACGUUCAUCACAAUCUCUAUUUAAAAAGAAAAGAAUGAUUCUCUAAAAAUAACUUAUAUUAAUUGUUUAAAUCAGUGUUUUGAAACCCGGACCGGCCCGGCGGGCCGACCCGCGAUCCGGCCGACCCGGGCCUGGGACCGGUCCGAGUGGAGGUAAAAACCCGUCUGGAAGUUGGCCCAGCGAAACCCGGUCGACCCGGGUAAACCCGGGUGUGACCCGGCUGUGUUUUCUUAUAUAUAUAUAAAAGUAAAACGCCACCGUUACAAACCUUUUAAACCAUGAAGAGUUGAAGACAGAAAACCUAAUUUCUUCAAUCUUCAAACCUAUAUCUGGUGCAAAGAAGAGCAGAGGAAUUUAAGUUCAAGGCAAGCUUGUUACUUGUUUGGCUCUCUUCAGUUCAGUUCUACGAAUCAAGGUAAGAUUAAGCUGCUGUUAUCUCUUUAAUUUUUUGUUCGCGAUCUUCUAUGCACAAAAACAUGGAUUCGCUCGGAUUUUGACGAUCAAAAUGCUGAGAUUAACUUUCUCCCCUUCUGGUAUGAGAAAGUAAGUUUUUAAAUACAAAAAUUUACCAUCUACAUAUACAAGUGCUCUCAAUCAAGCAAUCCCAUCCUGAUAUUAGAAAGCUGACAAGCUAUAUGUCCUUUACCCACAUGCCAUUCAUCAUGCUUGCGAAGGCAAACGUUAAAAAGGAGGCAGCCAUUGACAUUUUCUUUUAACCAAACAAACAAAUAAAAUAAAAAACAAAAUGCUUUCCUGAUGUAUUAAAGAAUUAUUGAAGAGUUUUAGCCAUUUUCUGGCCGAAGCAAUAAGGCCUGUAACCAGUCCGGCUGUCAAAAGUGACAGGGAGAUACUCAAAGUCGAAGUCAAAUACUUGAUGUUAGAGGAUUUAGAGCAUGAGAAGCAUUUGUGUUUACUUGUGUAUGAUUUUGAGUCCAGGUAGAUGCAAAGCAAUUGCUAUCUUUCUUUGGCAGCCACAAGGAGGAUUUUAAUUUUUCUUCGCCACUGCAGGCACAAAUCUAUGUACAGAAUUACCUUUCAGUUGAAGAGGAUCUGACAGAGUUUGCAGGCUCAUUACUUGUUGAUCCAGAUGAAUAUGGCACUGAAAAUGCUGCACUAUUUCUCCCAAAUGACCAUAGCUCACCAAGGUCAUCAAGGAAAGCUUAUACCGAGGAUAGCAGUGACAGAACAACUUAUCAUGCAUAUAGAGAGGUAAUAAAUAAUCUCCAACGACCAUUUUUAGCAACGCCUGAUUCUCUCAGUAAUUAUUUAAGAGAAUGCUAAUGGGAGCAUUGGAGAAAUAUGUAACUUACUCAUUAUUUCAAUGCCACUGAAGACAUUCUUUUUAGAGUCAUGGAAGACCUUCAAGUGAAAUGAAAUUCUAUGUUUUACUGAGUUCAUGCACAGGUCAACCAUUCUAGAUUUACUGCAUUUUUAGGCCAGGAAUCAUUUUGUAUUUCAUGUGUAUUCUUUGAGGACACUUGAAAAUUUAACUUGUCCGUUCAUAUCUUUAUGACAGUCUGCAAACUUGUAUGGCCAACAUUUUCAAGUCCUUAACUGUGAAGAAAUCAAUAAUUAAAAAGCCAACAAGAUUGAUCACUUCUUUUAGCAGUCUAUCUUCAACAUGUGUAAGUUGUGGGGUUUUGGAAUUUAUGCUUUUUAUGCAACUAUUUGCUCUUAUGCAACUAUUUGCUCCUGAACUAGUAAGGUGUUGCAUUGUAAGGUUUUAUAAGGUUUUUUUUUUUUUUUGGAUUGACCCGGGUCAACCCAUCUGACCCGUGACCCGAUCAUUAUACCGGGUCAAUCACCGGGUCAGGUUUAAAAACUAUGGUUUAAAUAGUCACUACACAAAUCUAAUUUGGAAAGGAAAAGAAAACCUACAAUAGUUUUAAAAAAAAUCUAAAAUUAUCUAAGAAAAUACUAAGAAUUUGAAAAGAAUAUUUUCUAACCAUAAUUCUAUCAUAUUUGAAAACAAUAGUUCAAACCUUUUUUUAAUCUAAUCUAUAAAAAUAUAUAUUUGCUAGACAUUAUAUAGUUCAAUUAACUUUACGCAUGAUAUGAUAAAAGUAUUAUUAAAAAAGUAAUAUUGAAACACUCACUCCACCUUGGAUGCUAUGUGGUGCACGUUCAUCACAAUUUCUAUUUAAAAAGAAACGAAUGGUGCAAAGACACCUGAUGAUAACCUAAAGAGUUUUUCUUUGCAUACAUGUGAUCCACGCGGAAAUUAUAAGGAGAUUAACAAUAUAUAAAACUCGAUUAGUAAAAAUUAUUGUAAAUAUAACCUCUAAAUUCAUAAUUUAUUCUUUUAAAAAAUAAAGCUAAAGAAGUCUUUCUCUGGAGAGAUUUCAAGAUGAUUUAAAUAAGUUACAAAACCUUAUUAUAUUUACUAAGAAACAACUAAAAAUCUCAAAGCAGGGUUGGAAAUUAAUAAAAUUCAAAUUAAAACAAUAAAUUCAAAAAACUAGAAAAAAUAAUAAAAUUAAAAAACAUAAUAAUUUUAAUUUUUUAAAAUUAAAGAAGAUCGAUCCAAAAGUUCAAUAAGCGAUGAAGUGAGUCCCCUAAAGAAAAAUUAUAUGUAAAAUCACCUAGAAAAAAUUAAACUCAAUUCAACGAUGUUAAUUAUCUUUUGACAUGACUUGAUUUUCUUUUUGGUUUAAACUUAUUCUAUUGUUCAUAAAAAUAUAUGCCAUAAUUUCUCUAUGAUAUAUUUCCAUCUAGUUACUACAAAUCUCCAUCCAAAAGCUCACAACUUCAGAAUCUGCAAUUGCUUAGGCAGUAUCAACAAUUCUCUUAAUUUCGUCUAAUCAUUGGAAGGGUAAGCACUCUUGGUAUCAUUGCUGGCGAAUCAAAAUGGACCUUUCUUCACUUUUUCGUACUAUCUUCUGCAUGCAGAAGGUGAUAUUCUCUGUAUAUCGCACAUUAAUUUAUAUAAUUUCUUGCAUGCAAAAUUUAAGUCCUUUUGCUAAUCAAAGACUGUAAAAGAAUCCACAAAGUUGGAUAAAUUAAUGCCGCGCGUCUCAUCUCAUUGUUUUUAGGCCUUCUUUUUCUACUUUCAAAAGAUCACUCUCCUUGUUAAAUGUUAAUUAUUUUAUUACAGGGAUGGUUUGUACGAUGAUCCCGUUAAAGCCUUGCUUCUUCUUCUUUUUUAAGAUUAUCAGUUUGAGGCCUAAAGUGAUGGCUUUAAUUAAUUUAAUUAAGGCCACUGUGUAUCCUUUUUGAGCCCGAUUGCAAACACUGUGCAUGGAUUCUAAGUAAGAGCACCAUUGCUCUUUUUGAGUUCUGGAAAUUUCCCUCCAUUUUUCUAUUCUCUUGUAUGCUAAUAACAGCUCCUUUAGCCAUGGUGAAGUUUGUCCUGGCAUUUUCUAUCAGCUGGUUCCUCUCGAGUUGAGACAAGGUAUUGAUGCAGUGAAUCAGAGUGAACCUCACUUCACUUCGGAUUCUAUUCAUCUAUAGCCUACGGGUCUCCUUCUAUAAGUAGAAGACCAGCUUGGUGGCAACAACAAAGCUAAUUCAAGAAAUAAACUGUCAUCGCUGCACUAAAUACCUUCUAGAAAGCCUCUCACUGCCACUGUUGCAACAAUAGAGCUACAUCCAAGAACCAUUUCAUAAUCAGAGGUAUGGAAUUAUCGAUAAACAUAUCCGGACAAGCCUCGAAUCAGAGAGACGAGAACUUCCGAAAGUGGAAGGCAGAGAGUUUCCCAGCACAAAUACCACGUGAUGAUGACCCAAAGAAGAUGAUGGAUAAGGAGUUAUACAAGUACGCAGAAGAAGACAAAUUUGAUGAAUUAUUUGGUGAACUGCGGCGUGUUUCAUCAGCGGAACUAUCAUCCAUCAUUUACACACAAGUUAGCCCCUCUGGAAAUUCAUUGCUUCAUGUUUCAGCAAGCAAUGGAAGCAAACAUGUGACGGAGCUCCUUCUACACCACUUUCCGCUUCUAAUGAUGAGGAAAAACUUCCACGAUGAUACUGCACUUCAUUUAGCAGCCGGAGCUGGACAGCCGGAAACUACAACAUUUCUUAUCAACAAGGCAAAAGGCCAUGGAGGAGCCAGCGACUUUCCUAACUUUUUGGAGAUGAAGAAUGAUAGAGGAAACACAGCUUUACAUGAUGCAGUCAUUAAUGGGCACGACAUUUUGGCCCAUUUUCUGGUUUCAGAGAGCUCGAAACUUUCCUAUUCCGAAAACAAUGAACGUAAGUCUCCCUUGUAUCUUGCAGUCGAGAAUAGCGAUGAGAAGAUGCUCACUACUCUAAUGGAUACUAUACGUGAUGAUGUUGAUUUACUUAACAAGCUAGAAGGAAAGUCUCCUGUGCCCGCCGCUGUCCAAGGAAGAAAGACAAGUAAAAUAUUGAUUUUUUUUUUAUUUCUCCAUAUAUUUUCCAUUGUAACAUGCCAGUGUUUCUUUCAUUAUUUGAUCGAUUAUUCAUUUGUUUUAAAUUAAUUUCAGAAAUAUUGGAACAAAUCGCGGAUAAAAUGCCAGACCUUUUAUGUCAGAAAGAUGGAAAGGGCAGAAAUGCACUUCACUUGGCAUCGCUCAUAGGUUAUCUAGAGGGAGUUCAAUUUUUAUUGAAGAAAAUUAGGAAUGGUGCAUUUGAAUAUGACGACGAAGGACUCUACCCCAUCCAUGUCGCUAGCAAAAAUGGCCAUGUUAAAGUUGUGAAAGAAUUGAUAAAUCUGUGGCCCGAUCCGAAAGAAUUCCUGACUAGAAAAUCGAAGAACAUUCUUCAUGUGGCAGCAGAGAACGACCGAGAAAAUGUCGUGCGGUACAUACUCAGAAAUCUCGAGCUGGGAUUUCUUCUAAAUGGGAAAGAUGAGGAUGGAAAUACGCCUUUCCAUUUGGCAACCAAAAAUGGUUGUCGUAGGGCAGUUAUUGCUCUAAUUCAAGACAGACGGGUUCAGAAAGAGAGUGUAAACAGCGAAAACAUGACACCAUUUGAUGUUAUCGUGGGACAAUGUCAAAAAGCUGAAGCACAAUACUUUGAAAGCCCUAUUUCAAAUGGAAAGGUAUACAUGAUAUACAGUAUCAAAUUCUACUCACAGCUACUUGUUUUCAUCCCAAUUUUAUUUAGUUAUGACUUCCUUGCCAUAGUGAUUCCUCUAUGUUCCUUACGCAGGACAUGCAGCCUUCAACAACCAAUUGUGGUGAUAUCCCCUGGAAGGUAUAACCUUCCGAGUUUUAAUUUUUCUUUUAGUACCAUGUUUUCUUUUCCUCUUUUCAAGUUGAAACUGCAAAAUUGCGAAUUGGAUUGGCACUCAAAUAAUGCAACAAAAAUUCAUUACAAACUAAAACCCAAUAAUCCAUGAAUUACUGAAACAAUUGAUUGGUUGGUGUGUGCUAAAUCAAAUAAUUAGAGAAUAAAUAUUUUUCGGAAGAAUGGAUUCAACGUAACAUGGCCCUACCUCCUUUCUUCUGAUUGAAGUUAUUGAUGUGUAAUACAGGACCAUCCAGUUAAUGCAAAGUUGGUGGACCAUGAAAAGAGUACUCGACCUAAAGCAGUGGACUUGAAGGAUUCUAAACAACUAGAUUAUAAUGACUUGGUCAGUGUUUCAGUGUUUCAGUAUUUUUAUUAUUUUUCUUGGUGAAAUUAUCAGAGAUUAUUAUAUAGCUUAUAUACUACUUUAAAGUUCUAACUGUACUGCCUUUUCUUCUGUAGAUGAUGAUAUUCUCGAUCUUUUCGUGGUUCACUAAACGUGAAUACCCCUUUGAUGAAAUCAUACACGUUCAACGCAAGCCCUUCUCAAAAGAGGACAUGAUAAAAAGGAUAGAUACUCUUCUUGUGGUGGCAAUACUUGUUUCCGGCGUAACCUUUGCCGGUGUUAUCCAGCUACCUCAACCAGGUCACAGUGGUGGUAAAAGUAUUAAGGUUUUGCUAAGCAUGUAUGUUGGUUUGGACGUUCUCGCUUUUCUUUCUGCCACAUCAGCAGCUAUAAUCCUUUGUUACGCACAAUUAAAUGAUAUCAAAUUUGCCACUCCUGCAAUUUGGUAUGCCUCAGCAUUUGUUGGUUACUCUAUGUACAUGAUGUUCCUGGCAUUCUUAUUUGCUGCUGUUCUAGCAGUAAGGGAAAAUCUUCCGUUCGUGGCGAUUAUCAUUCUGGUCGGAGUAGUUUUCUUCGUUUAUCAAACUUUUUUUUACGUACUAUGGCUGAUUCCUCCUUCAAUAAACCGAGUUGUACAUACAUUCUUCUCGAUUUCCCUCCACAAGUUGAUGUUCUUAUAUACUUAUGUUGUGGAAAGGUGGCUUGAGAUCUUAAAGAAACCCAAUCAACCGGAAGAGCAGCUAGCUAGCUAGCUAUUCUAGAAGUUGCCUGCAGAGGGUGGCAGUCUUGCAUGCCUGCUUCUUUUACUUCUAAUUAAUUAUAUCUAAGAGAAGAUGUUGUCUUGUGAUAAGUAACAUAUAUAAAACAUCAUGUAUUACGUUUUUCAGAGAUUGUAACAAUUUGAGUUUAUUUCUCUAAUAAUAAUUUGAACUUGUUUGUAUCGAAAUUGCUUCAUUUAACUUUUCCUUUUCUCAAUGGACCAACCCUCUUGGUCACCUCUCUAUCUCUUAGGCUCAACAAAUUACUAUAGUCUAAUUGUGCUACGCACAUCUUCUGCAAUCGAUUCCUUCUGAAUAUGCUCGAAGUUACCAUGAGGAUGAUCAGAAUAUAUACGAGACUAGUUUCACCAACAGGCAAACCUUUACUUAUUGUAGUUUGAUGAAUACUGUGCACAAAUAAUUUAAGUUACCACCAUAUGCAAAAAAUAGAAGCUUGAUAUAAGAAAAGAAUAUUUAGGUUAAUGAACAAUCUUAAUCUGUUAAUGAAUCUUUUUAACGGUUAAUUUUUUUUGGAAAAGACUCUUCCUACGAUGGGUGAGGGUUUUGAAGAUUAAGAUAUUCUUGAAAUUGUAAAUUUCGGUGUUGUUUGUGAUUGAUGCCAUGCAUUACUAUCAUAAUAGAUGUCAUACUUGAUGCGGCCUGAACAGUGUAAUUGAGAUUGAAAAGAAAAUUAUGAAGAUAGAAAAAUAAGGACUUGAGAGAAACUAUACAUUGUUUAUAUUCUCACACAAUGACAUAAAAAGUAUAAAUAAAAAUCUGAUAAAAAAUACUCUGAAAAUAACAUUUAAAUAGGUACUAAACCUACCUAAUUUGAAAUGAAAAAGACACUCUAAAAUAACUAGAAAAAUAAUAAAAUAAAAAUUAACUAGAAAAAUAAUAAAAAUUAUAAAAUAAUUUUUUUUGGGCUCAAUUUAUGGACUUUCUCUACCUCAACUAGUUAUAAGGCCUCUAAAACAUUAUGACUAAAUUUGAAUAUGAUUCAUCCAUAAGAUCAAAAUUUUUAUUUACUUUUUAUAUAUAAAAAAAACUUUUUGACAAGUUUGAGUUUUGGGAUUUAGGGUUGUUCAUCUGAUAUCCAUAAACAUAUUUGUUAUUGUUAGAUAUUUCACAUAAUUCAAUGGCAACAAAUCCAAAUCUGAUAGCUAAGCUCUUUCAAAAUCUAAUGUACCAAUACUUUGUGCUUCAAUAAACAAAAGAUGUGGUCAAAUUUGAAUAAUAAUUAUGUGGAUGUUGGAUUAAUGAUAAGAGGAAACCUUGUCAAAUUUAAAGUUCGAUAUGAUAAAAGUAUUAUGAAAACAAGCUCUUCAAUCCACCUUUGGAUGCCAAUGUGUUGAAUGAUCAUCAUAGUUUCUUUUUAAAAAGAAAGGAGCAAUACACAGAAAGAAUAAAGUAUAUAUGCCUGGUAGCUAAUUAAUUUGUAUUAACUUUAUUCACAUAAAUAUAUUUAAUGUAAACCCCGGCCCAAAAAUUUAAAUCUAUGAAUUCAAAUUCAAAAUUUUAAACAAAGGAUAAGGAAAUUAAAUAAAAAUAACACACACAGAGACAGUUAUAUAUAUAUAUAUAUAUAUAUAUAUAUAUAUAUAUAUAUAUAUAUAUAUAUAUAUAUGAGACUUGUAGUCUGAGAUUUCCAGCAGCUGCAUUGCAAAUAAGAAACUAGAACAAGUGUGAUCAAUAAUUAUUUAAGAGAUCAAUGCUAAUCAUGCAGCCCCAAGUAACAAAAACUCUUGCGUAUAAGAAGAUAAAAGAUACUAAAACGGCUCAAAAUUUUAUAUUUAACUGAAAAAUGUUAUGAUCAGUGUCAGGGCAUUGCACAAGGAAUGUGUUAGAAUGGGAGAACAUAAGUUCCCAGACCAAGAAUAGGAGCAUCCAAGGACACACCCGAUUAUAAACAACUGUAUAAAAUUCUCAACAGAGAAGUGAGCAGCACUAAAAACAGCUGAGCUUAGUAAAACUGCCUGCUGCCAGUUCAUGGUAGAGGCAAGAGAUUUCAAGAGAAAGCCUCUGUAAACAAUUUCUUCCAGCAGGGGGGUGACAAGGCAACAAACCAGGAUGCAGGCAACUUUUCGAGAUUGUUAAAAACAAUUGAGGAUAAAAUUAAAAAAAAUAAAAUUAUUGUGGAUUGUUACAUUGAAAUGCCUAGUUUUUUUAGUAUAUUUUGUACUAGUUUACUUUCCAUGCUACGCUGUGGAUGAUUGAUAAAAUCAUAAUUUGACUUUAAGAAAAAUCUAAAGAUAACAUUUAAAAAUAAAAGAUUUGACAUGAGACAUAUUUGACCGACUUAAUUAACUCGUCAAACUUGUGACCUGAGUCAUGAAUUCUACUAGGUUCAAUAAUAUUUUUUAUUUAAUUAUAUGAUAACAAAUAUGAAGACCAAUUUAAAAUCAACCAAAUAUUGAAGGAUAAAAUUGAAAAAUAAAAAUCAAUAAAAAUAUUUCAACAAAAACUCAAUGUUGAAAGAUAAAAUUAUUAAAAAAACACCAAGUGAAUGAGCUUGGGUGGCCUCGUGAUUAUUAAGGAACAAAUCCAAAAUCUGACCAAUUGAGCUAUCUCAUGGUUAAAAUAACUUAUAGUUUUUUAAACGGGCACCAAACAAAUCUACUUUGGAAAGGUAAAGAAACCCUAAAAUAGUUAAAAAAAAUUUAAAUCUAAAAUUAUCUAAGAAAGUACUAAGAAUUCAAAAACAGCUUUUUCUAAUCCUAAUUCGAAAAUCUUUCGAUCUUAAUUAUCUAGUUAUAUAUAUAGGGUAUAAGAUAUGUAGAACAUCCUGUCUAAAUUAAUCUGAGCAUAGUAUAAUUGUGCUUAUUUUUGUUAAAAAAAAAAAAACUUGUUUGACAAGUACAAGCUUUUUGUCAUCUGAUCCAUAAAGAUAUUUGCUAUACAUUCCAUAUUCCAUGUACUGAUGCAAGAAAUCCAAAUAUAUAGCUCAGCUUUUUCAAAAUCUACCGGACCAAAACUUUAUGCUUUAUGCUUGAUGUGAUAAAAGUAUUAUUAAAAAAAAAAAAGAGGAUAAUAUUAAAACAACCUGUUCACUCCACCGUGGAUGCCUCUAUGUUGCACGUUCAUCACAAUCUCUAUUUAAAAGGAAAAGAAUGAUUGUCUAAAAAUAACUUAUAAUUGUUUAAAUAGUCACUAAACAAAUCUAAUUUGGAAAGGAAUAGAAAACCUACAAUAGUUUUAAAAAAUCUAAAAUUAUCUAAGAAAAUACUAAAAAAUUUUAAAAAAUAUUUUCCAACUAUAAUUUAAAAGUCUUCUCGAUCUCAACGUAUAGAACAUCUUGUUUAAAUUUAAGUGUGGUCCAAAUAUUAUGCUUAUUUUUGUUUAAAAUUUUUUGUCUGACAAGUCCAAUCUUUAUGCUUGAUAUGAUAAAAGUAUUAAAAAAAAAAAAAGUAAUAUUAAAACGACCCCGUCACUCCACCUUGGAGGCCUGUGUUGCACGUUCCUCACAAUUUCUAUUUGAAAGGAAAGGAAUGAUGUGAAAGAAUAAAGUAGUGCAAGAAGAAGAACUGCAUCCUAAAGGACUAACCCAGAGAAUAUGCUUUCAUACGAAAAGAGAGAGAAACAAAUAAAAAAGAGUUUCUCUUUGCAUACUCUUGAUGCAGAGAAGUUACAAGGACAAGAAAAUUUCAUAAGCGAAAAUGAUUAUAGAUAUUAGCUAUAAAUUUGUAAUUAAUUUAUUCCUCUAAAAAAAAUAAAGCUAUUGAAGUAUUUCUUCUAAAAGAUUUACAAAUGUUUUAAAUAAGUUAGAAAAUCCUACAUCUAUAAAAAAAAAUUAAGACUCUCAAAGUAUAAAGAAAAUUAGGAUAAUAAAUUCAAAAAACUAAAAAAAAUAACAAAAUUGAUCAAGACAAUAAUUUAUAGUCCUAAUUCUAAAAGGUAUAAUGGUCCAAUAAGCGAUGAAACAACUUUUCUUAAUUAAAAAAAUUAUUACUAAAAUUACUUGAAAAAAUUUACACUCAAUUUAACAAGUAAAUCUCUCAUCAACUCUAUUUGAAGCUAUUAUUAUAGUCUCACACAAAAAUAAAAUUCCUUUUGCAUUUAGAUUUUUGCUACUAUUCCAUAAAAUAUAUAUGUUAGCCAUUCAAAUAAUCUGCUUAAAUCAAUAUGUCUAAAAAAAAUCUCCAUCCAAAUGCUAACUUUUAGUUUUUACAAGCUAGGCCGAAUCAACAAGUUCUUAAUUUCGUCUCAUCAUUGGAAGGGCAAGUACUCUUGGUAUCAUUGCUGGCGAAUCGAAAAUGGACCUUUCUUCACUUUUUCGUAUUAUCUUCUGCAUGCAGAAGGUGAUCUUCUUUGCAUAUCCAUGCACAUUAAUUUAUAUAAUUUCUUGCAUGCAAAAUUCGAGUCCUUUUGCUAAUUCAAGACUGUAAAAGAAUCCACAAAUUAAGCUGGAUAAAUUAAUGCCGUCUCAUCUCAUUGUUUUUAGGCCUUCUUUUUCUUCUUUCAAAAGAUCACUCUCCUUGUUAAAUGUUAAUUAUUUUAUUACAGGGAUGGUGUUGUACGAUGAUCCUGUUAAAGCCUUGCUUCUUCUUCUUUUUUAAGAUUAUCAGUUUGGGGCCUAAAGUGAUGGCUUUAAUUAGUUUAAUUAAGGCCACUGUGUAUCUUGUUUGAGCCCGCUUGCAAACACUGUGCUUGGAUUCUAAGUAAGAGCACCAUUGCUCUUUUUGAGUUCUGGAAAUUUCCCUCCAUUUUUCUAUUCUCUUGCAUGCUAAUAACAGCUCCUUUAGCCAUGGUGAAGGUUGUCCUGGCAUCUUCUAUGAGCUGGUUCCUCUCGAGUUGAGACAAGGUAUUGAUGCAGGUGAAUCAGAGUGAACCUCACUUCACUUCGGAUUCUAUUCAUCUAUAGCCAACGGGUCUCCUUCUAUAAGUAGCUUGGUGGCAACAACAAAGCUAAUUCAAGAAAUAAAUUGUCACCGUUGCACUAAAAACCUUUUAAAAACCUCUCACUGCCACUGUUGCAACAAUAGAGCUACAUCCAAAAACCAUUUCAUAACAGUAGUUAUGGAAUUAUCGAUAAACAUAUCCGGACAAGCCUCGAAUCAGAGAGACGAGAACUUCCGAAAGUGGAAGGCGGAGAGUUUCCUACCGCAAAUACCACGUGAUGAUGACCCAAAGAAGAUGAUGGAUGAGAAGUUGUACAAUUAUGCAGAAGAAGACAAAUUUGAUGAAUUAUUUGGUGAACUGCGGCGUGUUUCAUCAGCGGAACUAUCAUCCAUCAUUUACACACAAGUUAGCCCUUCUGGAAAUUCAUUGCUUCAUGUUUCAGCAAGCAAUGGAAGCAAACAUGUGACGGAGCUCCUUCUACAACACUUUCCGCUUCUAAUGAUGAGGAAAAACUUCCACGAUGAUACUGCACUUCAUUUAGCAGCCGGAGCUGGACAGCUGGGAACUGCAACAGUUCUCAUCAACAAGGCAAAAGGCCAUGGAGGAGCCAGCCACUUUCCUAACUUUCUGGAGAUGAAGAAUGAUAGAGGAAACACAGCUUUACAUGAUGCAGUCAUUAAUGGGCACGGCAUUUUGGCCCAUUUUCUGGUUUCAGAGAGCUUGAAACUUUCCUAUUCCGAAAAUAAUGAACGUAAGUCUCCCUUGUAUCUUGCAGUCGAGAAUAGCGAUGAGAAGAUGCUCACUACUCUAAUGGAUACUAUACGUGAUGAUGUUGAUUUACUUAACAAGCUAGAAGGAAAGUCUCCUGUGCACGCCGCUGUCCAAGGAAGAAAGAGAAGUAAAAUGAUUUUUUUCCCUUCUCAUUCAUAUAUUUUCCCUUCUAACAUGCUAGUGUUUCUUUCAUUAUUUGAUCUAUUAUUCAUUCGAGUUAAAUUAAUUUCAGCAAUAUUGGAACAAAUAGCGAAAAAAAAGCCAGGCCUUUUGCGCCGGAAAGAUGAAAAGGGGGAGAAUCCACUUCACUGUGCAGCAUACAUGGGUUAUGUUUGGGAAACUCAAUUCCUGUUCAAUGAAUAUCGUGAUGGUGCAAUCCAGCAAAACGAUGAAGGCAACAUGCCUAUCCAUGUUGCUAGCAAAAAAGGCUAUGUUGACGUAGUUGAUGCAUACAUUUCCAAGUGGACUGAUCCAGCAGAAUUUCUCAACAGCAAAAGGCAGAACAUUCUACAUGUCGCUGCAGAGAGAGGAAGACAUCGAGUGGUGAAGUAUAUCCUACGAAAUAAGAAUCUGGAAGCACUUAUAAAUAAGCAGGAUCUGGAUGGAAAUACACCUUUGCAUUUAGCAUCAAAGAAUGGCGGAUCCAUUGCAACAUUUACUCUUGUGCGAAACUCUAUGGUUAUGAAAGACAAAGCCAAUGGCGAAAACUUGACACCAUAUGAGGUUGCAAAGAAGCAAUCUAAAAUGGUGGGAGCAGAAUUCUCAGGAGAACCAAUUCCGAAUGGGAAGGUAUGUUAAGUAAUAAAUGUACAAAGAAACUGCUUUGGCCUAGAUGAAAAAAGCAGCAAUCAUUCGACUGCUACACACAUCAAAUGAUCAGUAGCCAUUUAGCUUAAUGGUGCUUCUAUAAAAUACAUUUCAAGGUUUUUUGUUUUCUUUUUCCUUGAAUCAUAUACAAAUCAGCAAACAAAAAAUAUCUUUCUCCAAAUUUUCUUGGUGUAGGACAACAAUGUUGACCCAAAGAGUGACAGCAUUAAUGGAGAGAAGCCACAAACAAAGGACAAACCAGAUCAUGGAGUGGUAUACCAUUUUCUUUCAUUCAUUUCCUUUUCUUUUAUGAGAUAACUUGUUCCAUAGUUUAUUUUUUCGGUUCUUUUUCCUAAAACCAUACGCAUAAAAACAUCUUUUGGUUUUUUGAUGUAGGGAAACCAAGAUGGUCCAGAUGACAGAAAAGGAGGGAAGGGAAAACUAGACUAUUAUGGAGUUGUAUGUCUUCUUCUUCUUCUUCUUCUUCUUCUUCUUGACAAAAAUGGAGGCAAGGGAAAACUAGAUUAUGUCUUCUUUAAUUGUCGGGAAGGGAAAACUAGAUUAUUAUGGAUAAUUUUUAUGUCUUCUUCUUCUUCUUGACAAAAUAUAGAGGAAAGGGAAAACUAGAUUAUUAUGGAUUUGUAUGUCUCCUCCUCCUCCUCGUUGAAGAGAUUAUCCUGGACACUUCCUAAUUAACUAGCUAAAAAGGAAACUUCUGACUACAAAUUUUCUUUGUCAAAUAAUUUAUAGGUUACAUUUCUCUUUUAUCUGUUGUUUUCCAGAUGAUGACAUUAUCGAUCUUGCAUUUCUGGGCUGGCCAUAAGACAUCCAAAGUAGAAUAUUUCCGUAUUAAGAGCAGGCCUCUACCAAAAGAGGAAAUCAAGGGCAGGAUCGAUUCUCUUCUUGUUGUAGCCGUGCUUAUCGCUGGUGUAACAUUUUCUGGUAUACUCCAACUUCCUCGAAAUGCAGACCUGCCUGAAAGUGGACCUUCUAACAUCACCACCACCAAUAGUACCCAAAACCAGGGCAUAUCAGCAAAAAAUGAAGGCAUUCUAAGGAAUGUUUAUAUUUAUUUUGACAUGGUAGCCUUGAAUGCCGCGGUCAUGGCAUCGAUAAUCCUUUGUUGGGCUCAACUAUAUGAUGUCAAAGUAGCAGCACAUGCAGUUUGGUUGGCAUCAAUAUUAACAGGUGGUGCUAUCUACUUGAUGUGCUUAGCAUUCGUCUUUGCUGUUGCUAUUGAUGUAGGCAAAAACUUUGCCUUCUUCGUUGUCACCAUUGUCGUCGGAGGAGCGUUUUUUAUUUUCCAAACCGUGGUUUCUAUUCCAUUGAUUAUUCCGCCGAGUGCCAACCAAAUCAUUGAAAGAAUUGCUUCACCUUUCAUCUAUCUCCUGAUUUUCUACUUAUAUUUCCUUUUGGACCGGUUGUAUUUUAAAUUGCAGAAAAAAGAGAAGCUACAACAAACAAAGUCUUUUUGAUACGAUGCUCUUCGGAUCGGUGGAUAUUGUGUGUGUUUAAUCGUCGUAAUAAUUUAAUGUUGUUGAUUGUAUUAAUUAUUUGAUAUUUGUGCUGUUGUAAUAAUUUGAGUUUAUUCAAUUCCAUGGAAAUGUACGUCUCCCGGUGAGCAUUUUCUUUUUUGAAUAAAAUAAAAGAAAUGUUUUCUACUAAUAUAAGUAAUUUCUUUAUGCAAAUUAAUUAAUGUGAAAUUAUGUUAGCAUUCCGUGCAAAAUUUAAUAAAUAAUAUUUACCGUCCAUGAGAUGCACUUUCUUGAUCUGAAGUUCAGAAAACAAAAAAUGUUUUCUUCGUAAUAAAAAUAAACAAAUUAACAAAAAUUAAAGCUUGCGCUAGCUACAAGAAGAAGAAGAAGAAGAAGAAAAAGAAGAAGGUGACAAUAUUGUUAAAAUUUCAUCUCCUUUCAUUAAACCUUUGUAAGAAAAAAUGUCUUUUAAUCACAUUCCUUAUAUUAAUUAUAAUUAUAAACCAUAUCUUUUCACAUUUUCAUUUUCUAUUAUAAAAAUUCAUGUCUCGUAUAAAAAACAAAUGUAUUUUUCAUUAAAAUUACAGAUUUUGAAAAAUAUAACUAUUUCACCAACAAUAACAGUCACAACUAUGAUUUUUUGUAUCAUCUUUUGGAAGCAAAGGUGUGACACAGCUAAUGUGUCCUCACUUCCCUCUCCUAAUCACCAGGAUAAAUUUCUAGGGUGAUAAUGCGCUUCAUCUGGCUGCCAGAGCUGGACGGCUACGUACACACAAUUAAAAAUCUCGUCGAGCAUGUAAAAUAUCAUCCUGAAACAAUUAAGUUUCUAGCGUGCUGAGGAUGAGGAAUGCUAAGGGAAACACCCCUUUGCCUGAUGCGCAGUCAUCAAGGAAAACAAGUCUCCUUUGUUCUUGGCAGUAGAGAGUUGCAAACUACCUUUUAACUCUUGAAAGAUGGUCGUGUAUGCUCGUUUUUCAAUCCAUUCUUUAGGUGUACAAAUCCAACUUUGAAAGUAAAUGAUUAGCCAUGCACUUAAAAGCUUAAAUACUUUCUGAAGCCUCUAGGUGUAGACUCGCCUAAGAUAUUGCACUAAAAUCUGGAGCCAAUGUCAAUCAAACUUGAUUAGAUGAUUUCUUUUUAAUCGAGUUCCAAUUACUGUCAUUUAUUUAUUAAGGUUUAGAAGUGGGGUAUUUUUAUUUUUUUUUUAAGAUUUUGCUUGUUUUUAUGUUUUAAAAAUGUUUUUUAAAAAAUUAAAAAAAAAUUUCUUGACUUCAAAUUAUUAUUUUUUGAUAUUUUGAUAUCGUUUUGAUAUACUGAUGUUAAAAUGAAUUUUAUAAAAUAAAAAAAUAUUAUUUUGUUGUAUUUCCGAGUGAACAUAACUUUGAAAAGCAACUAUUAUCAUAUUCCCAAAUACUUUCAAAGUGUUUUUUUACUUGAAAAUGCAUUAAAAUAAUAUUUUUUUAUUUUAAAAAAAUAAUUUUGACAUCAGCAUAUUAAUGCAAUUUAAAAAUAAAAAAAAAUAUUAUUUUUAAAAAAAUUCAAUUUCAACAUCAAGAGCACAUCAAGUCCUUAAGAUUCAGCCAUCGAAUGGUCCUGCACUUGAUUUGUAUUAAGAUUCAGUCCCUAAUACGUAAAGAGAGGAGAAUCAAACUUUAGUCUAAGAUCAUGACAAUGCAGUCCUGCUAUCAUGGUGUCCACUUGUUCUUCCUUAUAAAGCCACUUUGUUAAUAGUAGUGAUUACAACUCCCUAGAUGGACAAAUAAUAGUAAUUAUUUUCCCUAGAUGAGCCAGGAAAAUAAUUAGAUUUCUCUCACUUGAUUCCCUUUUUUUUUUUUUUUUUUCAGUUUCUAAGGUGAGUAAAGAUUUGUUUUAAGGUUGUAUAACAAUUUAUACAUGUCUUUACAAGCUAAAACAAUGGAGAAAUGAGCUUUGGGAGGCCUAAUCCGAUGGCCUCCAAUUCUUCAGCAACCACAAUGCAGCUCCCAAACAACACUAGGGCUCACUUUUUAUUUUUAUUUUUCCUUUUAAGCUGGGCGUACAGGGCCCAAAGGCAUGCACUUGUUUAUUCGAGACCCUUGCGCGUGGCCCUAAUGUACACCCAGCCCAUAUUUCCUCUCUUAUUUUCCUUCUCUUUUUUACACUGUUAUUUUUUUAUUUUCAUUUUUUUAAAAUCAAAAUUUCCAACGAGAAAAAAAAUCGUUUUUAUUUGGAUAAUUUUCAUUAAUAAUGAAGUUAUUUCCAUCAGAUGCACAUUUUCAUGACGAUAACAAAAAUAAAUCUCCUUGGUUUGAUUUUAUAAAUAAAUAAAUAGUUUCAUUUACAUGAUAUAAAUUAAAAAACAGAUUAUUUAAAUUAAUUACUCUUUGGUGUUAUUGAAAAAUUGUAAGUGAGUAUGAGUGGUACUUCAAAUUUUCAACAUAUUUUUGAUAUGAUUGAAGUUUUUCCGGACGAUAUGCGAACAUUUUAUAUAUAAAAGAAAGUAUUGUUAUUUUCUCAAUUACUAAUAAUUAAAUUCUCUCAAUUGUUAAGAAGAAAAAAAAAGUUUAUAUUGACUGAUUAUGCGUGGUACAUCAAUUUAUAGUAUUUUCUCAAUUACCCGCUAAUUUCAAAAAAAGAUUGGAGUCUUUAAAGACUAGCAUGAUCCACAUCGAUAGUUUACUCGAGCAAGACACUCAGUUUCUGUCCAAACCACAUAGAUGAGAUCCUUGCAAAAGCUUUUAUGAGGAGGUUGACCAAAGGAAAAAUGUACUAGAAUUGUAGAUGAAGUUUGUGCUUAUUGUGUUCAAAAAGUAAUUGCUUUUGUUUGAUCAUGUCCGCAAAAGUGUUUUGACUUAGAAUAAUUUUUUGAUCUAUUUUAGUUUUGAUGGUAGUUUGACUCAUAAUGCCACAAGAUUUUUUCUGUCAAAUGAGUUCUCAUUUUGUUUUUUAAUGAAAUCAUGCAUUUUUUUGUGUUCAUGAUGUGCCUUUAUUUUUAUUUAUUUUUUUGCAAAUAAUACACUUAUACAAAGACACCUUAUACUUUCAGGAAUUCUAAAAGUUUCACAUAUUCACAAAACUACUAUAGCAAGAAUUCUUUGAUGUAUUCCCUUUUCUUCAAAAAACUGUGCAUAAUCUUAUGUUUUCACAAAAGUUUCUGGAAAAAUCAAAGUUUAAUUAGUAUAAAAACAUAAUUCAAAUUGGUGUUUGUUAUAAUAGAAAAGUUCUGAAAAUUCAAGUGAUCUCCUUAAAAGGUGACUAUACAUCUAGAAAAACCUGAAGAACAACCUAAACACUAUGAGAUGACUUUAAAAUUGAAUUUUAGCUGAAUGAAUAAUAAGAAACCAUUUUGCAUGAUCACAUGAAAAAAAGUAGAGCUUACCGAUUUUAAAUGGGGAAAAGCCAUGUUUGAUAAUCUUUAUACAUGGCUAAAUAUAUUCUUUUUAGUCCCUAUUAAGCCUACAUUUUGUCGUAAGCAAGGGGCAACUAUUAUAACUAUUUUUUUAGGUUAUUCCCCUAAAGUUUACCUAUUUUUUCCUUCCCUGUAAAAAAAAUAAAAAAUAAAGUAAUAAUAGCAAGAAGACUCGCGAUUUGACAAAAAUAGAUUGAUAAGGAUUUCAAAUAUAUAGAAAAAUCAAGAUGCAAUUUUGGAUGAGACUAGUAGCUUAAUUAUACCCCUAUUGUACCUAAGACUAGAGAGACAAAGCGAAUUCAAGGUCAAAUUAAAUGAUUAUUGGAUGAAUCUGUAUAAAACUUAAGUCUAGGGACACAAUUAGAUUUUUAAUAUGACAAUUUGAUAUAAUUAUGGGCCAAAUUAAAAGUUUAAUUAUGUUUAAGAAUCAAUUUGGGUCAAAUUAAAGGAUUUAAUUAAGUGCAAGGAUUUAAAUAUAGUUUAAAUGGAUCAAAUUAAUUUUAUUAGAGACUUAAUUGGUAAAAAUUAAGUUUGGGAGCCCAAUUUGAGCUUAAUUGAGAAGAUUGAAAUUUUAGAGGACCAAACUUGAUUUUUACAAACUUAAUUGAUUGAAAUCAGGGGUAAAAUUGCAACAAAAUCAAAGUUUAUGAUCAAUUAGGGGAUAAAUUGAAGAAAUUUAAACUCAAUGACCUUUUUGAAAAAGAUGCCAAAUUCUAGGAACUCUGUGAAAAACCGCUAAAUUAUAAUCUGAGUAAAAUAAAUAAAGUACCGAAUAGAUUAAAUAAAAGGAUUUCAAGUAUUGUAAUUGGAUACAAUAGAAUAAAAUAUAAGAUGUUAUGGUGAGAAUUAAGUAAAAAGAAGAAUUGAGUGACAAAAAUAGAAAUGAGAAGAAAUGAGGGUCAAUGUGUAAAUAGGUAAAAGUUAGAUUAUAAAAUGCUCCAUUUUUUCUCUUUUAGCCGUGAGCUUUAAACAAAGAGAGGGGGAAGAAUUGUGUGAUUUUUCUACUUAAAUUCUCAUUGAUUUCACUAAUUAAAGUGAGUAAUUAGAGUGAUUAACUUAAUUAAACAUCAAGAGGGGGUUGAUUUUAAGGUGAAGAGUGCAUUGGAGGAAGGAUUUCAAGCUAGGGUUUGAAGAAGAAGAAGAAAACUUGAUUUUUCUUGCAUUUUUUUCCCUAAAUCCUUAUCAAAGUGAGGUAAAUAACAUCCUCCAAAUGAUUAAUUCCUUUAAUUUUAUGUUAGAUGAAGGAUUAUGCAAAAUUAUGAUUAUGUGAAGUUGUGGAUUUAUGUUAUAAUUUAUAGGAAUAAUGCAAAUUAUGUUUGAACCAUGUUAGAAAACAUGAAUUAUGAUUGGGUAAGUGUUUGAUUUUAAAUAAAAGAAACAAAAAUUAUUUUUCCUCAUUUUAAUUGAAUAUUUGGCCAAAAGAGGAAUAAUUUAGGGGAUUUGAGGUUUAAUAUAAUUGUUUGGAAAAUAUGGGAAGAUGAAGGUUUAUAAGUGUUAUUAUAUGAAUGGAGUAAGAAUUUUUCAAAGAGAAAAGAAAAAUCUUCACUUCCUUCCCUAGGUUGUUUUGGCUAAAUGGAGAAGAAAAAUUAGAAAAUGGAGUUUUAAUGAUAUUAUUGAGGGGUUUUUGGCUAAAUGGAGAAGAAAAAUUAGAGAAUAGAGUUUAAAUAAUAUUAUUGAGGAAUCUUACCAAUUUGAAGACAAUUAAUGUUGAUAGGUUAAAUUGAAUAGGGACUUCUGUGAAAAAAUAAGUAAAUGUUUCAAAAAGGAGGGUUUUGUCCUCCUUGAAUUACAAGUCAAUUAAACUUAAUUAAGGGUGUUGGAUUUAAUCAAAGAAUAUGUAAUGGGUAUUAGAAUUUUACCGGUUCGAAUGAAUGAACAAUGACAAAGUAAUUUUUAUUAGUACAGAGGAGGCCGCAGGACCUAAUCAGCAACAAGGGACCUCUUUACGUGCACAGACACCAAGUAGGUGUUCGACACCUUAGAGUAAUUAAUUAGUUUGUAUUUUUUUUAAUUGUAGAAUGAAUUUUAUAGAUUGUAAAUUCUAUAGCUGGUUACUGGAAAUAAUUUGAAUUUUAUAGAUUGUAAAUUAUUUCCUGGUUGCUGGAAAUAAUGCCCUGGUGAAUGGGCAACCCUUGAAAAAUUAUUUCCUCGUUACUGGAAAUAAUGCCCUUCGUGAAUGGGCAAGCCUUGAAGAUUAUUUUCUGGUUACUGGAAAUAAUGCCCUGUUGAAUGGGCAAGCCUUGAAGAUCAUUUUCUGAUUACUGGAAUUUAUGCCUAGUUGAAUGGACAUGUUAAGAAAAUUAAUUUACAAAUUAAUGGGAUAAUCACUCGAUGUAAAAUAGAUUAAUUGUAAAACUUUGAAGUUAAAUAUGCUGAUUUGUGGGAGACAUUCUUGAUAUUUUUAUUUUAGUAGAUUUAUCCUUAUGUCUAGAAGAGAAUUUAUGAAAUUAGAAAUUUCAAAAAGAAAAUAAGACAAUAUAUUCUAUGAUAUGAAAGUCAUUUUAAUGUAUAUGAAUAAUUAGUCCUGAAUCAAUUACUUAUUGAAAUGUGCAAUUGUUUUAAUCAUGUUUAAUGCGAUUAUGUUUUUAGGUACAUCGCACUCUCGACCUGGAAAGUAGAUGCUUGGAUAAAUAAUUUUGUUAUGUGAUUAAUGUAAUUGGAAGAACUAAUAUUUUGUUGUAAUGUGCUUCCAUAUCUAAAAUUGUAAUGUUUAACUUAUUAUCUUGUGUAUGAUGUAAUUUAUAAUGUUAUUAUUAUUAAGUUGAAUUAUGGUUGGUUGUAUAUAUAUUUGAGCACAAAUACUUAAAAAAAGAAAAAAAAGAGAAGAUGCAUGUUAAGAAUUUAUUAGUUUUAUUAUAGUGUUCUAUAGAAAAUAAAAUUGAGAUAUUGAAAUAUGCUUGAGUUUUAUCUCCCUCUGUUACUAACAACACCUCCACCACCACCUACCUUCCUCGUCGCCGCCACAAGAACUGCCUUGAGCCACCAUCGACAACAGCCCUACCACCGUCAGAAAUAGAAGAAGAAAUAGAGAAACAAGGGGACAGAAACAAAAAGAAGAAGCAACGCAGAAACAAAAGAGAAAAGAGAAGGAACCACCGCCUGCUGCCACAACAUCGCCACCCUGAACAACAACACCUCACCCCAGGUUAGCCUCUCCCCCUCCUCCUUCUUCUUCCCCUAGUUGCUCCACUGUUCUGCGUGAACAGUGGAGAGUGAAUUAAUUCACUCUCUACUGUUUUCUGGGUCGGACAGCUCCGACCUAUACCAAAACUAUUGGGCCAGGUCCGGCCUAGUCCAAAGAAGGAAGAAAAAAAAUAUUGUGGGCCGAACCGGCCCAGCCCUUGUCUUGGGCAUAUGUUGGCCCAGGCAGGAAGGGCUCAACCCAAUAUAAUUAGGUCAGGCCCAUCCCAAUAUAUUAAUAUAAUAAUUAAAAAAAUCUAAAAAUUCCAUAAAAAAUCUUUUCAAAAAUUUAUGAUUUCCCGGCAUAUUUUUCUAUCAACUUUGAUUAAAAUUGAUUUGUAUUUUUAUACCAUAAAGAUACAAAUUCGGUAUUAAAAUAGCUGGUUUUCGUCGAAACAUUGCAAAAAAUAAUAAAACAAAAAAUAUCUUGUUUCAUGUAUACAACCAAGUUUCUCUAAGCUUAUAAAAAUUUUUCAUCAUAUUUUCAUAAAAAAAAAAUCAAAAAAUAUUUUAACAUGUAUUUUUUACUUUAAUGACCAGUCUAUUAAAGUCAUGAGAACUAGGCCAAUAUUUUAAAAAUUUCAAAAAAAUUAUUUUGUUUUUUUUUUAAUAUAUGGGAUUACGAAUUUAUACAUAAAACAUAUUUCCGAUAUUAAAAAGGUAUUUCUUUUAUAGACUUUAGAAUGAUUAGGUUUUUACCUAAUAAGAUAAGGAUCUCCUUAACGAGAAAGACUUUUCUUAAACUUUAGAUAGACCAACAAUUAUAAAACAUAAUAACACCUUAGUUUUUAUUAGACAAUCAAACAAUGUAGCUUACCUUAAGUAUGAUAUAUUUGGGGUGUUAAUACAUUUUCUUUAUGCAACUAGUCCCCGUGCCCGAUCUUUGAGACCAAUUAGGGUUCCUAAUGACUAAAUACUAGGUGGCGACUCGCAUUUUCAAUUUCCACAAAUAAAAAACAAGAAAUCCUUGUUUACCCCAUUUCCCCAUAUUUACCAGAUUCCUAAUUGAAGUAGAAUAUUGUCGCGAUGCUAUACACAUGUGACAAGGAAAAUUAUGAAAGAUGAAAAAUCGAGGACUCGAGAUAACUUAAAGGUUACUUAAAUUCUCACACAAGGAGAAAAGGAAUAUUCUAGUAAAAAGUGCUCUAAAAAUAACUUAUAAUUGUUUAAAUAGGCACUAAAUAAAUCUAAUUUGGAAAAGACAAGAAACCCUAAAAUAGUUUAAAAUAAUCUAAAAUAAUCUAAUAAAAUACUAAAAAUUGAAAGACAACAUUUUCUAAUACUAAUUCGAGGAACUUCCUGAUUUCAUUUGGUUAAACAUCUCGUUUAAAUUUUAAAUCUGAGUAUAAUUUAAUUAUGAUUCAAUCAUGCCUACUUUUAUUUAAAAAAAACUUGUUUGACAAGUUCAAACUUUUUUUUUCAUCUAGUACAUAAAGAUAUUUGUUCAGUUAACUUUACGCUUGAUAUGAUAAAAGUAUUAUUAAAAACAAAAAGUAAUAUUAAAAAUCCCUGGUCACUCCACCUUGGAUGCUGUGUUGCACGUUCAUCUCAAUUUCUAUUUAAAAAGAAACGAAUGGUGUGAAAGAAUAAAGUACUGUAAAAUAAUGAAUUGCAUACAAAAGGACCAACACAGAGGAGAGGAGAUGCUUUCAUGAGAAAAAAGAGAGAAGCAGAGAAACCUGAUUAGCUUAAGAGUUUUAAUUUCUUUGCAUACAUGUGAUGCACGCGAAAAUCAUCAGGACAAUAAUAAUAUAGAAAAUUCAAUGAAUAAAAAUGAUUGUAGAUAUAAUUUAUAAAUUCAUAAUUUAUUCUUUUAAAAAAUAAAGUUAAGAGAUUUUAAGAUCUGUUAAAUAAGUUAGAAAAUCUUAUUAUCUCUAUUAAAAAAAAAACUAAAAAUCUAAAAACAUAAGACAAAUUAAUAGAAUUCAAAUAAAAAUAAUAAAUUUAAAAAAACUAAAAAAAAUAACAAUAUUGACUAAGACAUAAUAACUUUAAGGUUUAAUUAUGAAAGAUUUAACGGUCGAAUAAUUGGAGCAAUGAAGUGGCUCACCUCAAUAAAAUUAUUUGUAAAAUCACUUGAAAAGAAAUUAAGUUCAAUCCAACAUUAAAUUUUUAAUUAAUUUUAUUUUAAGUUAUUAUCCUAAUUUUACUACGUGAUUUAACCUUAUUUUUAGGUUUAGAUUUAUCCUUUUAAUUUAUGUUAAGUCAUCCAAAUAAUGUCAUAUUAUCCAAAUAAUCUCUUGUUAACAUAUUCAAAAAUCUCCAUCCAAAAGCUCGUAACUUUCAGAAUCUGCAAGUGGUUAGGCUGCAUCAACAAGUCUCUUAAUUUCGUAUAAUCAUUGGAAGGGUAAGUACUCUUGGUAUCAUUGCUGGCGAAUCAAAAUGGACCUUUCUUCACUUUUUCGUACUAUCUUCUGCAUGCAGAAGGUGAUCUUCUUUGUAUAUCCAUGCACAUUAAUUUAUAUAAUUUCCUGCAUGCAAAAUUCAAGACUGUAAAAGAAUCUACAAAGCUGGAUAAAUUAAUGCCGUCUCCUCUCAUUGUUUUUAGGCCUUCUUUUUCUACUUUCAAAAGAUCACUCUCCUUGUUAAAUGUUAAUUAUUUUAUUACAGGGACGGUGUUGUACGAUGAUCCUGUUAAAGCCUUGAUUCUAAGUAAGAGCACCAAUGCUCUUUUAGAGUUCUGGGAAUUUCCCUCCUUUUCUCUAUUCUCUUAUACGCUAGUAACAGUUCCUUUAGCCAAGGUGAAGUUUGUCCUGGCAAUCUCUAUCAGCUGGUUCCUCUCAAGUUGAGACAAGGUAUUGAUGCAGGUGAAUCAGAGUGAACCUCACUUCACUUCGGAUUCUAUUCAUCUAUAGCCUACGGGUCUCCUUCUAUAAGUAGAAGAGCAGCUUGGUGGCAACAACAAAGCUAAUUCAAGAAAUAAACUGUCAUCGUUGCACUAAAUACCUUCUAGAAAGCCUCUCAUUUCCACUGUUGCAACAAUAGAGCUACAUCCAAGAACCAUUUCAUAAUCAGAGUUAUGGAAUUAUCGAUAAACAUAUGCGGACAAGCCUCGAAUCAGAGAGAUGAGAACUUCCGAAAGUGUAAGUCAGAGAGUUUCCCAUCACAAAUACCACGUGAUGAUGACGCGAAGAAGUUGAUGGAUAAGGAGUUAUACAAGUACGCAGCAGAAGACAAAUUUGAUGAAUUAUUUGGUGAACGGCGGCGUGUUUCAUCAGCGGAACUAUCAUCCAUCAUUUACACACAAGUUAGCCCCUCUGGAAAUUCAUUGCUUCAUGUUUCAGCAAGACAUGGAAGUAAAGAUGUGACAGAGCUCCUUCUUCAGCACUUUCCGCUUCUAAUGACAAGGAAAAACUUCCACAAAGAUACUGCACUUCAUUUAGCAGCCGGAGCUGGAAAGCUGGGAACUACUACAGCUCUUAUCAACAAGGCAAAAGGCUAUUUAGGAGCCAGCGACUUUUCUUACUUUUUGGAGAUGAAGAAUGAUAGGGGAAACACAGCUUUACAUGAUGCAGUCCUUAAUCGUCACGACAUUUUGGCCCAUUUUCUGGUUUCAGAGAGCUCGAAACUUGCCUAUACCGAAAACAAUGAACAUAAGUCUCCCUUGUAUCUUGCAGUCGAGAAUAGCGAUGAGAAGAUGCUCACUAUUCUUAUGGAUGCUAUACCAGAUGAUGUUGAUUUACUUGACAAGCUAGAAGGAAAGUCUCCUGUGCACGCCGCUGUCCAAGGAAGAAAGAGAAGUAAAAUGAUUUUUUCCCCCUUUCUCCAUCAUAUAUUUUCCCUUGUAACAUGCCAGUGUUUCUUUCAUUAUUUGAUCGAUCAUUCAUUUGUUUUAAAUUAAUUUCAGAAAUAUUGGAACAAAUAGCGAAAGAAAAGCCAGGCCUUUUGCGCCGGAAAGAUGAGAAGGGGGGGAAUCCAUUUCAUUGUGCAGCAUACAUGGGUUAUGUUUGGGGAACUCAAUUCCUGUUCGAUAAAUAUCGUGAUGGUGCAAUCCAGCAAAACGAUGAAGGCAACAUGCCUAUCCAUGUUGCUAGCAAAAAGGACCAUGUUGAUGUAGUUGAUGCAUACAUUUCCAAUUGGACUGAUGCAACAGAAUUUCUCAACAGCAAAAGGCAGAACGUUCUUCAUGUCGCCGCAGAGAGUGGAAGGCAUCUAGUGGUGAAGUAUAUCCUACGAAAUAACAAGCUGAAAGAACUUAUAAAUGAGCAGGAUCUAGAUGGAAAUACACCUUUGCAUUUAGCAUCAAAGAAUGGCCGAUCCAUUGCAACAUUUACUCUUGUGCGAAACUCUAUGGUUAUGAAACGCAUAGCCAAUGGCGAAAACUUGACACCAUAUGAUGUUGCAGAGAAGCAAUCUAAAAUAGUGGGAGCAGAAUACUCAGGUGAACCAAUUCCGAACGGGAAGGUAUGUUAAGUAAUAAUUGCAAAACUAAACUACUUUGGCGUAGAUGAAAAAGCAGCAACUAUUCGAAUGCUAUACACAUCAAAUCAGUAGGCUUUUAGCUUAACAGUACUUCUACAAAAUAAAAUUUCUAAGUUUUUUUUUCUUUUCUUUUUCCUUAAAUUAUAUACAUAAACAUCUUUCUCCAAAUAUUCUUGGUGGGUUUUUUCGGUGUAGGACGACCAAGUUGAUCAAAAGAGUGAAAACUAUGGACCGAAGCCACUAACAAAGGACAAAUCAGAUCAUGGAGUGGUAUGCCUUUUUUCUUUCAUUCGAUCUUUUAUGACAUAACUAGUUCCAUAUUCUAUUUUUCAGGUUCUUUUUCCUAAAUCAUGCCUAUAAAACAUCUUUUGGUUUUUCAAUGUAGGGAAACCAAGUUGAUCAAGAUGAAAAAAGUGGAGGGAAGGGAAAACUAGAUUAUUAUGGAGUUGUAUGUAUUCUCCUUCUUCUUUUCCUUCUCCUUCUCCUUCUGCAUCUUCUUGUUCUUGUUCUUCGUCAUCAUCAUCAUCCUUCUUUCAAUUUCUUUUUAUCAGAAAACUAGUUGCAUAUUUAAUUUUAAAGAUUCCACAAUAUAUGAAACAAAUGAGCUUAGGUAUGACAUUUGAGAUAAAUUACCGAAGGUACAUAUGAUAAUUUAAUAUUUCGAAUUUUAACUAACCCGGACACUUCUUAACUAAAAAAAAAAAAGGAAAAUUCUGAAUACAUAUAUUCUUUGUCAAGUAAUUAAUAUAUAGGUGGCUCAUCUCUUUUUAUCUGUUGUUGUCCAGAUGAUGACACUAUCGAUCUUACAUUUCUUUGCUAGCCCUAACAAAUCCAAAAUAGAAUAUUUCCGAAUUAAGAGCAGGCCUCUACCAAAAGAGGAAAUCAAGGGCAGGAUCGAUUGUCUUCUUGUUGUAGCCGUGCUUAUCGCUGGUGUAACAUUUUCUGGUAUACUCCAACUUCCUCGAAGUGCAGACCUGCCUGAAAGCGGACCUUCUAAAAUCACCACCACCACCACCAAUAGUACCCAAAACCAGGGCAUAUCAGCACAAAAUGAAGGCAUUCUAAGGAAUGUUUAUAUUUAUUUUGACAUGGUAGCCUUGAAUGCCGCGGUCAUGGCAUCGAUAAUCCUUUGUUGGGCUCAACUAUAUGAUGUCAAAGUAGCAGCACAUGCAGUUUGGUUGGCAUCAAUAUUAACAGGUGGUGCUAUCUACUUGAUGUGCUUAGCAUUCGUCUUUGCCGUUGCUAUUAAUGUAGGGAACAGUUUUGCCUUCAUCGUUGUCACCCUUGUCGUCGGAGGAGCGCUUUUUCUUGUCCAAACCGUGCUUUCUGCUCCAUUGAUUAUUCCGCCGAAUGCCAACCAAAUCAUUGAAAGAAUUGCUUCCCCGUACCUCUAUUUCGUGUUCUUCAUCUGUUAUUGUGCUUUUGAGUGGCUGCUUUUUAAAUUUAGCAAACGCAGUAAGAAAAAAGGGGAGCAACAAUAAACAAAGUCUUCUUGAUAUGAUGCUCUUCGGAUCAAUGGAUUUUGUGUUUAAUCAUCGUAAUAAUUUCAUUUUGUUGAUUGUAACAAUUAUUUGAUAGUUUUAUAUUUGUAAUAAUUUGAGUGUAUUAAAUUCUAUGGAAAUGUACGGCUCUUGGAUGAGCUUUUUCUUUGAUGAAUAAAAUAAAAGAAAUGUUUUCUCCUAAUAUAAGUAAUUUUUUUAUCCAAAUUAAUGUGAUACUAUGUUAGCAUUCCAUGCAAAAUUUAACAAGCAAUUCCUGUCCAUGAGAUGCACUUCCUUGAUUUCAAGUCUAAAAAACAAAAAAAAAAUGUUUUCUUUAUAAUAAAAAGAUGAAAACUACACAAUAAACAAAUACUUCAUAAACAAGGAAGGGUCGGAAACUUCCACCGUUGCUGAAUAAAUUUUUAGCCUAUACCUAGAUCUUCCAAUUUGUUAAGUUCUCAUUGCUUGAGCUAGUAGAAAUUGAAGAUUUUUGAGCUGAGUGAGGAUCUUACAAUAAUAGAUGAGAAUAUGAUCUAACCACACUAUGUCAAUAGCCUACAUAUGUUUUUAUGGACCAAUAUAAAAGGUCUAAUCGCACCAUACUAGGUUAGCAUCUUAAAACUGAAAUAAAACGAGAUCUAAUUGGAUUGAGUUUAAAAUUUUCUAAGUGAUUCUAUAGGUAAUUUUCAAUGAGAAGCCACUUUGUCGUUUAUCAUAUUGUUGGAUCUUCUAAAAUUAAGCAUAAAAGUUGUUGAUUGGGCCAAUUUUAUUAUUUUUCUUGAUUUUCUUGAUUUAUUAUUUUUAUUUUGGAUUAUGUUUUAAUUUCAUUAAUAUUUUUAGAAUUUAGGUUGCUUCCUAAUAGAGGUAGGUUUUCCUAAUUUAUUUAAAGGUCUUAUAAACCCUUUAAAGAGGCAGCCACCAUAUACUUAAAUUUUAAAUAAUAAAAUUAUGAAUUUAGAGUUCAUAUCUGUAUCUAUUUUUGCUCAUUAAAAUUCUUUUGUUUUAUGUGUUAUUGAUAUCCUAUUAGCUUCCUUCUGCGCUAGUUGGUAUCAAAGCCUAACGAUCCUAAGUUUUAUAAUGCUUGUUGUGUGUUUCAAUUUCACGGAUAAUUGUUAAUUUGUUAUAUGCUGCCAACAAUCAUGGUAUGAAAAGGUCUUGGAAUAGGAUGUGGCUAAGGGGAUAAGAAGGCUCCUAUUUAGAAGAGAAAUGUUCAGGAGCUUUUUAUGAAGGGCAUGUAGAGACAGAUCAUAAGAUUUGACUCAAGGUUAGAAGAUAAGGGUUAAUAAGAAUAUACCUAGGAGAGUGACUAUGGGUUUUUGGCUAGUACCAAAAACCAAAAGCAUGAUCAGAUGAGACAUCCUCAUGAAAUAAAACAGAUCAAUUGUGAGGAUUUCAGGUUUUCGUAUCAAAAUCCUUAAUUUGUCAUAACUUUACAGGUAAAGGAGUUCAUAGACUAGUUGAAUGAAGUUAAGAGAAUUUUUUUAAUGUAAGAAGGUUCUUGAGUAGACACGAGUUAAGUUAAUCACAAUCAAACUAAAGGGUUGAAUAUCUACCUAGUGGGAACAGUUGAAGAAGACGUGAAAAAGACAAAAAAAAAAUCAAUGAUUAAGACCAGAUGAAAAAGAAGAUGAGGGAGCACUUCCUCCUUUCAGAUAUUCCUAAACCCUAUACUACAAGCUUUACAUGCUAAAAUAAAGAGGUAAGUCAAUCAUUAUUGUAUUGAUAAUUUCUACUAGUUAGUAGCUCUGAACGUUUUCGCAUAAACUAAAGAACAAUUAGCGGCAAGGUGUCUGAGUGGUCUACGGAAGUCCAUAUAGGAUGUACUAUAUAUCUAGUAUUUAUGGAUAGUUUUUGUAGGCUUGUUAGAGGGUUUUGAUAAUAGAGAAGCAGCAAACUUUCAUCAUCUUUGAGAUCGAUUUACAAAUCAGAUCUCAGCCGGACAUAUAAGACUUUCUUAAGAAGCUUUCAUCAUCUUUGAGAUCGAGACUUCCUUGAGAAGCUUUCCUCAUCUGGAUACAACCCUUGUUAUUAGAAAGAGUUUGUUAACACUCAUUGGUGAUUUAAAAAAGGAUUGGUGGUGUCAUAAUAUCUUUCAUUCUAUGAGAAUUGUUAAGGAAAAGGUUUACAGCUUGAUUAUAGACAAUGUUAGUUGCCAGAACAUUGUAUUUGCAGAAGCAAUGAAAAAGCUUAAAAUGAUAAUUGAAAAUCAUUUUAAGCAGUAUAAAAUAGGUAUAGCUAAAUAGAGAUUUUGAGGUAAUUAUUGACAAACAUUGCCUUGUUUUAUUUUUCAUUGGACAAAAAAACAUUUUAAUAAUACUAGAUAUGAUGUUGUUUUUAUGGAUGCAUAACACUUUCUAUUAGAGAGCCAAGGUAGUUCGAUAGAAAUAUGAUGUGUUGUAACUCAAUUUUUAACCCCCUAUUAUUAUAUAUAUAUUGAAAAAUUAGAGAAACAAAUCCAAAAAUAUGUUUUUUUAGUAAUUUUAGUUAAUUUUAAUCAUUUCAUUAUUUUCUUCAUUUUUAUUUAAUUUUUUGUAUUAAAAAAUUCUUGAAAAUCAUAAAAAUACAAAAAUACAAAAAAAAUACAAAAAUAAAAAAAUACAAAAUAUAUCUAGGUUUGAAAUUGGAUCAAUAAUCAAACAUCAUAGGCAAAAACGAGGAUCAAUAAUUUUUGGGUUAUAAUUGAGAUUUGAAUUGAAGAGAAAAAUGAAGAAAAUGGCUUAUUUGAUUUAAUUUGGCUAAAGUUAAAAGAAAUUUAAUGUUCAAGGAUGAUUUUGAAAUAAAUAGUCAAAUUAAAAAUUAUUAAAAGACUUAAUUAAAGAAGAAAAUUAGAAUUGAGAGUUAGAUUAAUCAAAAUUGCAUAAUUUUAGAACCAUGAAUAAAUUUAUAACACGGUGUUAAAUUUGAAGAUCUAAAAUUUGAAACUGACUCAAAUAAAGACACAAUUUAAAAAAAAAAGAUAUAGAGAGAUUAAGGGAUUUCAAGAAAGUAAUGACUAAAUUGAAAUUGGAAAGAAUAAUUAAUUUAAUUUAGGGUUUAAAUUGAAAGAAAUUUCAAAAUUAAACAUCUUAAAAAAUUGAAAGCCAAGGACUGUAAUUAAAAGGAAUAAAUAUUUUAAGGACCAAUUUAACCAUUUACAUAACUUCAUUUAUGUCCUAUUUGUUUUAAUCAAGACAAUUCAGUCCAAUUGGUUCCAAUUAAAUUAAACUGACUUAAUUCAAUUCAGUCCAAUUAUUUUUAAUUAAUUCACUUUAGUCCAAUUAAACCCCAAAAUCCAACAAUUAAUUUUAGAUUCUUUAUUGGAAUUCCAAGCAAUUAAACCUGAGAUUGCAAUCUCCCAAAUCAAAUUCUUGAGCAAUUAAAUUGAGGAUUCCAGCAAUUAAAAUCCCACGAUCCCACCUCCUCGAUCCCAAAAUACCUGCCCAUAUCCAAAUCUUCAAUCCCUUGGAUUAAGUCCUGAAAUCAUUCUCACCAAUCCAACAUUUUCUCUCCAUAAAGGGAACAAAUACACAGCCACACUGACUAAAAGGGGGGCUCUCGGAUUCAAACCAAAGAACCCUGAAAAUCAAACCCAUCCUCCUCACCAGCAGUUACCCCCCGGCAGGGCUCAUGAUCAUCAUAGCCUCCACUGUCUCUCCAUUGCCAAACCAGCACCACUCACCAUAACCUCCCUCUCCGCCACCAAAACAUCCAACCCAUCCUCUGAUUCCAGAGAACUAGACCAAUUUCCAUAGCGAAAACCAUUGUCCAUUCAUCAACUCCAAUACUGGAAGACCCAACACUCAUAGCCUAUCCUUCUUCCACAAAGCACUGGAACCAACAGAAACUCUCCAUCACUAUCAUCUUCACCAACGGCCUCUGCCUUCUUCCUCAUAACCUCCAUCUUCGAACUAGCCAACAACCACCUGAUCCUCCACAUAACCUCUCUCCCAUUCACCCGAAACAACGCCCUCGACUAACACACAGCAACCAAGAAAACCAGUAGCCAUGGCCAAAACCAUAAUCAACCUGAGCCUCUCCAAUAAAAACCUUCACUGACUUUCCUCUCGAUAAAAACCCAAUAGAUAAAAGCCAAGAACCAUAAGCCCAUUCUUUCACCCUCCAUUAACCAAAAAGAGAGGCAUCCAUCCAAAUCAACUGUUUCUCCUCCACAAUAACCAUUGAACCACGACCUAUCUCCACCAUCACAGACCAAACUCGUCUUUGCCCAAAAACCACUAGUCUUAAACCCCAUACAAAAUCCUAGCCACCAAAACAUUGCCUAAAUCAGCCACCAUUCACCUCUCCCUCGCCACACCUUCUCCAGUAGCGCCAUGAGAAGUUGAACAUCUCUUUCACUUCCAUGACAAACUACCCACACCACCAAGGCCAAAACGCAGUACCUCUAUCUUAAACUACACUAACACUUUAACCCAAGACCACUGACCCUCAACCACCAAGACUUCCACAUCUACCACCCCUUUCAGCUGAUGAAGAACAACCCAAUUUCCCUUCCGUUCUUCCACCCGAACCAACCCAGCAGUUCCACAACAUAGCUGAACCAGCCACCACAUGAAACCAACAUCACCUUAACACCUAAGUCAGACCCGUAUCCCUUCUCAUCUUUGCAAGCCACCAACAGAUCCUUAAUCUUUCUCCCAUUACCCACUGAAAACCCCAAAAAAAUCAAUGUAAUUUUUUUCUUUGUUUUACAGGGGGAGAAAAAACCAAUAACAGAGGGAGAGAAGAAAUAAAUGGCCACUGGUGUUACGAAAUGAGGUUUGAUGGGCUUUAUAUACAGCGCGUGAACAACACACUUCUUCAAGCUAAUUUCUACAGAUAAGUCACGCGUGUUCACACUCGCUCCACGGGUCCCAGCUGAUUUUCCAGCAAUUCUGUUGUUUUUCCAUCCCAAAAAGUCAAUUUCAAAUCUCCAAUAAAUAUUUUUGUUAUUUGUAUGUUUAAGUCUCAUGUAUGUUGAUUCUUUUAGUUUUUUCAAUUGUAAAAAUCUAAAUAUUUUUUGUUGUUAUAUUCUCAUAUAAUAAAUAAAACAUAUAAAAAUAAUUAUUGUAAUAAUAAUAGUUAUAAUAUAAAAAACUAACAAAAAUAAUUGGGUCAAAGUCCAAUCCUAUUAAUACCUAUCAAGCUAAUAGUUGGGUCAAAAGCUCAACUUGCAUAAUCCGAAUGUGUUCAAGGCUUGUUUAUAACAACUUCAAUGCAAGCAAUUUUUUUAGGAUAAGCGUCAUUUUUGACAAAUCUUGUUUUAAAGGGAUCGAUAUUCAGAUUUUAAAAUUAAAUAUAGAUUCUACCCACUUUUAGUAAUUUUGAUGAUAAUUGCUUUUUAGGACUUAACAUCAACAUCUUUGACAAGUCUUUUAUUUUUAGAGACUGAUGUUAUUUUCAGACUGAUGCCAUUUUCUGACAUGUUUGAAAACCGAUGUUAUAUUUUUCACAAAAAUAAUCAAAAAAAAAAAAGUUAAAAACAUAUAGUGAUGAUAAUCUUUCACGAGAAAAGAUGUUAUAAGGGUGACAUCGUUCUUUCCUUAAGCAUAACUAACUCAUUACCUGAUUCUUUAGAACCAAUGAAUAUUUUAGGAUCUCUAGUUUUCUCUAAUUACUAGGUGACAACUCCUAAUUUUCCACGAUAUACAUUUUAGCUCCUCGCUUGUGACAUCCACCAAGGUAUGACAUGCAUGAUGGCAGAAAAAAUAUGCACACCUUAAACAUUAAGAGGAAACGUAUAAUGUUGGCACCUAUAAAGAGAAGGUGGGGACGAGAACUAAAAAUAGAAAAAAUAUGCUGUCUUUAUCAUAGUUUAUAGAGGAUAUAUUUGAAGAAUAAAUAGCGAAUGCUCUAGUUCCUAGAAGUAGAAUGGUUGGGGAAGAGGAUGGUGUUGUUAAAAAUCUCGAGAAAGUACGAAGUGUGCUAGCAAAAUUUAUAGAUUUGAUGUCAAAUAAGUUACCCUAUGCAUUGCCUUCUAUGUGAGAUAUCUGACACCAGAUUGACUUGAGUCCAGGUUUUAGUCUCCCAGCACACUAGCUUAUAGACUUAAUCUCAAGAAAGUCAAAGAGCUAUAGAGGCUGUAUGUGGAGUUGUUAGAUAAGGGUUACAUUUAGAAAAGUAUGAGUCUAUUUGCAGUCUCAGCUCUCCUAGGCUUAAAAAUCUAUGAUUUAUGGUGUUUGUAUAUUGAUAAUCGAGCUAUUAACCAGAUCAUAGUAAAAUAAACAUUUCCAAUACCAUAGCUAGAUUGUCAAGUAUUUUUGAAGAUUGGUUUCAAAAGUGGUUACAUAUAAGAAUCAAACUUGAAGAUAAGUAGAGGAAAAACUUUAAAACACAACAAGGGUUAUACAAAUGGAUGGUUAUGCCAUUUGGUCUAUCUAAUGCCUCCACUUCAUGAUAUUCAUGUAUCAGGUAUUGAGGUCAGUCAUAAGCAGAUUUAUUGUGGUUUAUAGCCCUAAUCUAGAGUCUUAUCUAGAGCAUCUACAUGUUGUUUUGACACUUUAAAGAAUAAACAACUAUAUAUGAAUAAAAAAAAAGUGUAUGUUCUUUAUUAGUACUGGUACUUUUUUUAUGCUUUAUUGUGUUUGUUAAAGGGGUUUAAGAUUAUCCAUCCAAGAUUUCUAUAAUUAUGGAGUGGCUGACUCCAAUGAGUGUUCAUAAUGUUCUAAGCUUUUAUAGACUUGCAUCUUUUUUAGGAGAUUCAUCUGAAACUUCAAUUCUAUUAUUGCACCUAUUAUGAAGUGUCUAAAAAAGUAUCUUUAAGUGGACAAAUAAAGCCAAAUCCAGCUUUCAGUUAAUGAAGCAGAGGAUGACUAAAGCUUUUUGACAUUUUUAGAAUUUGAAAAACUAUUUGAGGUAAACUUAAUGUAUUUGGGUUAGGCGUUGAGGGAGUUCUUAGCCAAGAUAAGCAACCAAUUCAAUGAGAAGUUAUUUAGCUCAAAGAGAAACCACUCUGUCGCACCCGACAUCGCGGCGGCCCUAAAAAAUAAUUCUUGAAUACGGAAAAAGAACAGAUUUCUGGCAUCUUGUUCUUUUAGGGAAAAAUGUCUUGUUUGAAGAGUCGCCACCUAGUAUUAUGGUCACUAGGAACCCUAACUGGUUAACAGAGAUUCUAUGGCUCGGGAUUGGUUAUGUAAAAUGGAAGAUAUUAUCACCCCUUAAACGUUCCGCCUAAGGCAGACUGCAUUGCUGGUUUUGUCUUAAAUUGCUAAAUGUUUAUUAGUUUAUGCUAUGAUGAUUUGUUUAUAAUAUUCCUGACUCUGGCGCCAGUGAAUAUUCGAAUAAAAAAUAAAUUUAUUUUUAUGCAUGCACAUAUAUUUUUUAUUUUUCUAGCUAAAUAAAAUAAAACUACAACGAAUAAAAAUAAUAUAAAUUUAAACCGGUAUUUUUAUUCCUAACUCUGGCGUCAGUAAAUAAAUCAAUAAAUUUAUAUUAUUUUUAUUCAUGCAUAUACAUUUUUUAUUUUUUUUUUAUUUUUUUUUGCUGGGCCUAGCUCAGCCCACAUGGGCUGGGCUAGACCCAGCCAGCCCAGCCCGGUCACUGGCCCAAGCCAGUGACCCGGCUGGGCAAAAAUCAAAGAAAGCAGGAAAUGAAUUAAAGUCCAAAGUAAACAGUAACCGGUGAAUUAAAAUGAAAAGCGGGGAAAGAGAAGCUUACUUACCUGGUAGCUCUGAAGAUGAAAACGCGAUGGAAGAUUCGUAGGUUAAGCUCCUCUCUGUUCCCUUCUCCUUGGUUCUUGCUUUGUUGUCCCCUGUCUUUCACGUUCUGCUCUGUCUUCCCCCUUGUUUCGUUUGCGUCUCUCUUUCUCAUGUCCAAUGCGCUUUCGUUUUUCUUUGUGUUCGUCUGUUCAAGAGGUGGUGCAACCCGAGACAAGGCUGGUGCUUGUGCGUUGGCUGGCCAACGCUUCUCUCUGUUUCUGUCUUCUCCAGUUCCCCUGUUUUUUUUUUUUUGCGUUCUUCCUCUGUUUAUUAGUGUUCGGUCCCGGUUCUCUCCUUCUUUUUUUUCUUCUCCUUCGUUUCUGCCCUUUUUCCCUAGCUUUUCUUUCCCCUGUUCGUGGCUUUUUCUUCUCCCCGGUUUUUCUCCUGGUUCAGCCUUGGCUCUGCCUUUUUCUUCCUCCUUUCCCCCCUGUUCGUGGCUUUUUUCUUUAGCCUCCUCUGUUUCUUUGAGAAGAAACAGAGGAAUGCAAGUCUGCUUUUCCUUUUUCGUCCCCUGUGCGCAUCCCUUCUCUGGCUUUUAUAGUCGGAGAAUGGCAUCCGUCUCCCUUGGUAAUGAAGACUCAGGACUGUUAUUGCAGGAGUAAUGAGGGAAUGAGGAUCGUGCAGUGUCCGUUUCUUGUUUGAAGAAGAUGAACAGUGUCCCUUGAAACGACGCCGUUUUGAGAUGUGAAAUGGCCAUUUGCAUUUUGGCCCUUGAAUGUUUGAAAGUUUUGCAACUAAGCCCCUAGUUAAAUUGUAAUUGAACCCCUGCAGUUUGGCGCCAUUUUCAAGCUAGUCCUUGGAUUUUAAGUUUUGCAAUUUAGACCCCAUUUAAAACCCCAAACUUUGAUAUUUCUUUAAUUAUGUCAUUGAUUUGAUUAAUUAAAUUAAUUCCAAGCUUAAUUAAGUCUCAAAACUUAUCAAUUCUCCAAUUAAACCCUUGAUUGGAUUAAUUAAAUUAGUUUCAAGCUCAAUUAAGUCUCAAAACUUAUCAAUUCUCCAAUUAAAUCCUUGAUUGGAUUAAUUAGAUUAAUUCCAAAGUUUAAUUAAACCUCAAAACUUCCAAUCAUGUUGCCCUUAACCCAAAUUUUAAUCAAUUCUUCAUUUAUUUCAUUUUACUUGCUUUUCAUCAUCAUUAUUUUUUUUCACCAUUAUUAAAAGGAUCAAAAAUUGGGUUAUGACACACUCAAUGUAUGAUCUGGAGUUAUAUACUAUUAUUCAGAGUCUUAAAUAUUGGUGAUAUUACCUAAUAAAGAAGGAGUUUAUCCUAAUCACAGAUCAUGAAGCUCUUAAACAUAUGAAUGGGCAGCAUAACUUAAGUCAUCAGCUUACAAAAUAGGUGUCAUUUUUACAAGAGUUCACUUUUUGCUAAGGCACCACCUAGGCAACUUAAACAAAGUGGUUGAUAUCCUCAAUAUGUGGGUUAUUCUACUCAGUACUAUAUGUACCUAAGUGACAAGGUUUGAUGCUUUCAAGAAGCUAUAUUCAAGUAACUCAUCAUUUAGACAGAUUGAUGUUGAGUUGACAGAUGAAGGUAAACGAUAUAACUUUGUACUUAUGAGUGGUUAUCUAUUUCAUGAUUUGCAGCUUUGUAUCCUAGAUUGCUCCUUACAGAAACAUCUGUGAAUUGCAUUAAGGGACACUUUGAGCGGGAUAAGACAUUGACCCUAAUGUUUGCAAAUUAUUAUUGGUCUAAGUUGUCUGACCAUAUAUCUAUUUUUAUAACGAGAUGUGUUGUUUCUCAAAGGUUUAAGGAAGCCUUAACAAAUGUUGGACUCUCUACUUCAUUACCUGGUUCUUGAUGCUUCGUGGUUGGAUGUCAAUAUAGAUUUUAUGUUAAGGUUUAUCAUGUACCUAAUAAGCCAUGGAUUUUAUUUUAAUUGUUGUGGAUAAGUUCUUAAAGAUGAUUGUUUCACAACCUGUUGAAAGACCAUGGAUACAACAUGAAAAGCCUACCUCUACUUCAACAAGGUGAUUUGUUUACAUGACAUUCCUAUGUUCAUUAUUUCAUACAAAGAUGUGAAGUUUAUGAAUAACUUUUGGAAGAGUUUAUGGAGUAAGAUAGGAACUCAACUAAACUCUGAUAGAGCAUAUCAUCCAUAGGCACAUAGGCAGAUGAAGGUGUUUAACCUAGGGGUGAGUAAAAUAGAUUAAACUGAGAAAACUAGAAAAAAAAAUAACCGAAAAAACCAAACUGUGAAAAAAACUGAUUAAACCGAUUAGAAUUUUUUAAAACCGACCGGUUCAGUUUUGGUUUUAUAAGCUUGAAACCAAAAAAACAGAAUCGAACCCACACCGAAAAAAUACCAAAAACAAUUGAGCCAAACCAGAAAAAAACCGAGUCAAAUCAGAAAAACCAACCCAAACAAAAAAAACCCAGCCAAACCGAACCGAACCGAUUAGUUUGAACAGGUUUUCAUUAUAAAAACCAAAUCGAAACUAGUCGGUUUGAACCUGUUUUGGUUCGGUUUCAGUUUUUUAAAAAACAACUUUAGUUAUUUUUUUUUUAUAAAAACCGAACUGAACUGAAAAUGAUCUUCCCUAGUUUAACCAAAGCCUUGGUAACUUACUGCGAAGUUUAGAUGGAGAUAAGCCAAAAUAGUGGGAUCUGACCUUUUUACAAGUAGAGUUUGCAUGUAAUAGAUCUUGAAAUUGGACUACCCAAUUAAGUCCAUUCGAGAUCAUCUAUAGACAAAACACUUUUAGAGUGUUAGAGUUAUGUCACUCUUCUAGAGUGUCCAAGAUGAUAGUAUGGCAUAUUACUUACAUAAUAUUCAUAACCAAGUCAAUAACACAAUCCCUAACAUAAAUGUCAAGUAUAAAAGCCCUGGUUAAUACUCAUCGUAGGAGAGUGGUGUUUGAGGUUAGUGAUCUAGUAUAGGUGAUGCUUACUCGUGAGAUGUAAGGUGUUGCAGAAGAUAAAUGAAAAUGCUUAUAGACUUCACCUUCCUAGGCAACUAAAUACUUUUGAUAUCUUUAAUGUUUAGCACAUGCCCUCUAUUAGGUUGAUAAUUCAAGUUAAUCUUGAAGAGAUGUCAAGAUUUAUGGUAUUUUCCUCCUUUAAAAGUUGUCGGGAUCACCAUUAAAGAUCUGUGGGAUUUUGCUCAAACACUACUGUCAAAGAUUGACAUACAUUUACCACUUAAAGAUAUUUAAUUAUCAGCGUCUCUUCAAUAUCGAACGUAUUAUCCUAAUUCCAUUAGAUCCUAUAAAAUCACCAUUUUCUAAGUGGUAAAAUUCAAAUGAAAAGUGUGAAUAUCAUAAUGGGAUUCUCAGCCACUAUAAAAAAAUUACAAGAAUUACAAGUAUCAAGUCUAAAAGCUUAUGACCAAUGGACAAGUUGAGUUUGUGAAGGAUAAUGGUACCUACUACAUUGUCACUAGACCAUCCUCAACAUACCAAGUGAUUGAAAAUGCUAGUGAGACACAUAUAUUGCUAAAGAAGUUGAUCUAAGAAGGGUGCUGCAUUGUCAAUUAUUUUUGUUAUAGAACUUUGUUGUUCUUGUUUUUUUUUUUCAUGUUUGUUGGGGCCACAUCCCAUCUUUUAAUGAAAUAUGCACUCUUUUCAUAUCUUUUUUGUUUUGAAAUCAAUAGAUGUUUAGCAUUUUUAUUUUUGACCAUGAAAAAAAAAUUGAUUAAACCCCAAGGUGAACCAAAUAAAAUGCUAAGAACUCAUUAACCCUUAUGAUUUAUUCCAUGGCUCGUUUAAUUGAAAACUAACAAAACUUUUACAAAAGUGGCAAGGCAAAAAAAUAGAAAUCCAAAGAUUGAGUACCAAAUUAAAAAAUAUAAUAUUUGGUAAAUUGGGAUUUAAAGAUGAAAUUGAAAACAAAUAAAACUUCUACAAAAAAACCAUUACUAAAAAUGAGAAAACAAAAUUAGAGACUGAAGUUGAAAUACCAACAACCAAGAGGGUAAAAUAGUGAUUUUUGGGGAAGGAGAGAGAAAAUAAGGGAAAAAAAAGUAUAACCGACAACAAACUGAACCAUCACCAGAUACACGCAUCAGACCAACAUGAAAAGGACACUAUAACGCUUCCAAAGACAUGACAAAAGGGUAUUUUUGGAGACCGAGAGGCACAACACAUGCCGACCGAAGAGCGCAAAUGCCUCCCAUACACCCUAGGGUGUGCCACACGCGCACAUCUUUUUUUUUCUCUUAAAUUUAGCUAAAUACAAAAAUAUCCUUAAGCUGACUUUCUAAUUAAAAAAAACCAUUAUGAAAACCAAAAAUACCCUUUGACUUUAGGCUUUUUUUGUAUUUUGAGGGUAUUUUUAUCGUUUUACUUUGCAUUUUAAUUAUUUGUUAUUGAUUAUAUUUGUUUACAUGUCAAAUUGCCCCUCAGCUUAAAUUGUAAUAACAAAAAACCAUUGUAAAAAUACAAAAAUACCUUUUAACACUAGGUUUAAAUGUUUUCAUUCUAAAGGUAUUAUGGUUGUUUUACUAUGCGAUCAAGAUGAAAAAAAAUACUUAUUUGUCCCUAGUCAAUAUGAAGAUGACAAAUGAUCAUGUUAAAGAUUUUAAUCCUAAUUGAUUUUAUUAGCUAUUGUAGUAAUCAUUAACUUGAUUAUAUUCUGGACCUUGAUUGUUGUUUACUAUCAUUAUUAAUCCUAAUUGUCAUAACAUUUUAGUGAUGUAUAAGAGCAAUUCAUUUUGACUAAUUCCUAGAAACUGUUUUAUGUUUUUUAUUUUCUUAAUUGAAAGAAUAGAUGGAAAAUCAAAAGCAUAAACAAUAAAUGGCCAAAAUCGAGUGAGUAAAUUGAUGCUAAGAUUGAGUUGAACGAGAUCAAAUGUUAGUGUAUUGGUAUAGGAUUCUCGGGAAAAUCAGAACAUAGCAUUCAAUUAGGGAAAAGGUAGAAGGGUCCAAGGACAUUGGAUUUCAGAACAAAAGGGUUUUCAUUAAUGAAAUUGAAAAUAUUUAUUUAUUUAUUUUGUGAUAAGAAAUAUCAUAAAACUAGUUUGUGUGGGUCAAUCAAUACUAAAAUAAGAUCAAAGUAAAGUGAAAAAGAAGAAGGAGAAGAAUAAAAUUGAUAGAAUCAAGAGGUAAGAUAGGAAAAGAAUAAAGUUACAAACUUGUGCAAUUCAAGCUGUGUGCAACCAAAACAUACAUUAAUCUUAUAUAUUCAAUUAACAUUAACAAUUUUACAAGUCAAGAACCCAUGUUUUUUUAUAUAAUCAUGCAGUAUAUAUAAUUAAGAAAAAAAAAACUCUCAUUUAAGUAUAAGCUCUUUUCUUCAUCUAUUUAAAAUAUUAAAUCAGGAUUUCACCGCAAUAUAUUUGGUUCAUGCAACUUUCAAACCACACAAAAUAAUAAUAAUAAUAAUAAUAAUAAUAAUAAUAAUUAAGGGUGCUGCAGUGUUUUAUAUAUAUAUAUAUAUAUAUAUAUAUAUAUAUAUCAAUCAUUAAUAUCAUCCUUCGUUAUUGUAAAACUAUGUGAAUCAUUAAAACUAAUAUAUGAAUCAUUAAAUUUAAUUUUUUCAAAAGCACAGAACCACUGUAAAAACAAACACCCCUAAAAAAAAUAUCUUAAAAUACACAAAAAGUUUUGGAUCUGAAAGGAAAAAUAUGCAACAUUAAAUUUUCAAGUGGUUUGUAAGUUUUUAUAAAAAUCCAAGUGUUAAUGUAUUUUACCUCUAAUUUAAAACCAUCUUGAUUUUCAUGGAAUGGUUUAAAAUUGUAGAUAUUAUAUUUCUUUCACAGCCAUUGUGCAUAAUGUUAUUUGAAUUUUAUAUAAUUCGACCAAUCACAUGGUGUAUAUAACGCUAGAUAUGUAUCAACAAGUCUAAUUUUAAGAAACAGUACGACCACAUAAAGUGAUUUUUUUAAUAAAACAAAUAUAAUUUUUAAUUUAACCUUUGAAUCAAGCUAAAAUUGAUUCUUUAUUUUCAUAAUUAUUUCUUAAUUCUUUUCCUAGUUAGAUCUUAGAGUUUUAAUUUAAUUUGGUUUUAAUUAGUUAGAUCAAUUUAGUAAUUAUUUAAAUAGCUUUGUAGCUUAUUCUUCUAAAAUACAUAUAUAUAUAUAUAUAUAUAUAUAUAUAUAUAUAUAUAUAUAUAUAUAUAUAUAUAUAUGUUAUAUUCAAGUUAAGAAUAAGCAAGUUAAGAAUAAGCACAAUCGUCUAGGCUUUUUCCUGUUACGGGACAUUUUUCCCUUUUCCUGUUCUUGUCCUAGAUGCUUUCUCUGUUGCUAUGUUCCAUGCAGAACAAAUGGGUGGAGUCUUUGAGUACUCAAAGUAUAUCCAUGCAAGUGAAAUCAAAGUAACCUCACAUCACUAUAUAUUCUACUGAAAUGCUUCCCAGUCUAUUCAAAUAGAAAUCCAUUCAAGUACAAACACUAUUUCCUUUUUCUUUUGCAAUGUAUCCCGUAGAAAUAAACGUACAAGAAAAUUUGACCUCAAGAAAUGAUGAUCAAAAUGUAUUGAUGGAUCGUUUCUUGUAUGAAUAUGUGAAGGAGGACAACAUUGUGACCUUUAAGAGCUGUGUUCAGAAACAUUCGCCAGAUAAGCUAGUGACUCCCUCUGGGAAUUCACUACUUCAUGUAGCCGUAAGCUAUGGAAGUGAUAAAAUUGCAGCUUAUCUGGCAGAAGAGUUUCCUUCGCUAAUCACCAGUCGAAACGACCAGGAGGACACAAUCCUUCAUGUUGCUGCCAGGGAAGGAAGGCUUAGCAAUACAAUUAAAACUCUGGUCGGAUCGAAUCCCAGCUUGGUGAGGUUGGAAAAUAGAAAAGGAAACAUUCCUUUGCAUGAUGCAGUGAUCAGGGGUAAUAAAGAAGCUGUCGCGUGGCUGGUAUGCAAAGAUCCAGGAGCGGCCUUUUACAACAACAAUACACAAAAGUCUCCAUUGUACCUGGCUGUUGAGAGUGGCCAUAAGAAUGGGAUUCUUGAUGAUCUCCUGAAUAUCGAAGCUUCCUCUGGCGCGCUACAAAAAGGAAAGUCCCCUGUUCAUGCAGCCAUCGAGCAACGUAACAAAGGUGAACACAAUGUGUAUCUAUACUCAUUAGAAAAUGAUUUACAUAAAAAACAAUUCUUGCAAAUAUAUCAUCGUUAUGUUCAUUGGAAACUAAUUCUUUUGAUUUUCAGAUAUAUUGGAAAAAAUUGGAAAGGCAAAACCAGAGCUAUUAGGUUUCAAAGACGAAGGGUUGGGAAAUUCCCUCCAUUAUGCAUCAUCCAUGGGUUAUCUGGAUGGAGCUCGCUUCCUACUACAGAAGUUUCCUGAUGGAGCAAAUGAAAGAGACCAAGAAGGAAACUAUCCUAUCCAUCUUGCAUGCAAAAAUGAUUCUGUUGAUCUAGUAAAGGAAUUGAUGAAAGUCUUCCCAUAUCCAAAAGAGUUCCUCAAUGCAAAGGGGCAGAACAUUCUCCAUGUAGCAGCUGAAAAUGGACAAGGCAAAGUGGUUAGGCACAUACUCAAACAGGAUCAGAAGCUCAUCGAACCACUGCUAAAUGGCAUUGAUGAGGAUGGAAACACACCUUUGCAUUUGGCAACACAGUCAGGCCAAUCCAAUGCUGCAUUUGCUCUAGUGCGCGACACCCGCGUUGAGCGUUCAAUUGUCAACAAUGCAAACAAGACACCGUAUGAUAUUGCUGAAGAACAAUCUAAAAUAGCUGUGAAUCAAUAUGAAAAAACAGAUGAAAUGGUACACUAGUUGAUCAUCAUUUAGCAAGAUCUACAAAAGUGUAUAUUUUAGGAGAAUAAUUGGUUUAAUAUUUUUGUAUCUGUGCUAAUUACUCUUUGUUGCCAGCUUGCUGAGGAACGAAAGCAGUUUGAUUCAAAGAACAACACCCCUGCUGACGGGACCCAGGUAUAAGAGUUCAAAUGAUAUGUUCUUCGCUUACAUUUUAAAUAUUUUGGGUAAAGAUAUGUACUCGAUAUUACAAGAAUAUUCUAUCAAGUAAUGGAAACAAUCAAGCAAGAUCAAGAGACCAAAAAAAUUCAAGAUUUAACACCUAACCGUUUAAGGUUUUUGAGUAUAAUGAUGUCAUGUGAUUUGAACAAUUAUAAUUUAUGCAUUUCUUCAUGAUUUCUAUUUUCUGAGACAGGACAAAGCAGUUGAUCCAAAGAAGCAAGAUAAAAAGAAACCCUCAAAGGAUUACAAACUGCUAGAUUAUUAUGGAGCGGUAUUGUUUCUUUUCUUCUUUCCUAUACUUUUGGGUUUUGAUCUUUUCGGUUUCCGGAAGAGGUAAGACUUUAAGAAAGAAAAAAGAUGGCUGUGUCUUGGUUUAAAAGUGGUGCUGAGCUACAUGCUUAACUUGUAUUCUAUAGUAUUCAAAAUUCUGAAACCAUUCCAGAAUUUUGCUAUCUUGCGUCCCCAAAAAGGCAUUUCAAGGCCAGAUGCUUUUGGAUAAUCUUCGAAGAGCGAAAAACUAAAAAAAACCAUUAAGUUUUUUUCCUCUUGCUAUGCAGAUGACAACAUUAUCGAUCCUACACUUCCACGCCCGCCCCAAAAAAUCCCUACAACAGCCUUUCAGUAGUUCUCAAGGCAAGCCACCAAGGAAAGAGGAAACAAAGAGCAGGAUAGAGAAUCUUCUUGUGGUAGCAGUGCUUGUUGCUGGUGUAACCUUUUCUGGUGCUAUACAAUUGCCACAGCUAAAGAAUAUCAGUAACUCAAAUGAACAUCAUCAUGACUUUAACAUCACUAGCACUGUCUUCCAUAACAACACUGCCUUCGACAGUCCUACUGGUUCAUCCCUUCUGGAUGGCUAUUUAUGUCUUGAUGUGUGGGCUUUGAAUACCUCUGUGGUGGCAGCUAUAAUCCUUCUUUGGACGAACUUGAAUGAUGUCAAAUUUGCACCAUUUGUCGUUUGGUUUUCAUCCUUAAUGGUUGGUGGAGCUAUUUACAUGAUGUGCUUGGCGUUCUUUUUUGCUGUGAGCAUAGCAUUAGGUGGAUCCGAUUAUGGAGUGUUAGCAAUCAUCAUUAUUGUGGUGGGGGUUGUGUUUUUCCUUGCUCAAACGUUGCUUUAUAUUCAAUGGAUUCUUCCACCAUCUGUCAACCAAAUUCUUGAAGGAAUGCUCUCGUAUUAUGUCUACUUCCUCUCGUUUCUCUUUCUAUUCUACAGUUGGAGGUGGCUGCCUGAUAAACUCUCGGAGCUCAAGAGAGGGAGAACAAGCAACGAGAGAAAUUCAGGUUGAUCUUCAAUAGAUGUCAGGAUUUCUGGGAUUUUCCUCCUCUAAAAGUUGUUGGGAUCAGUAAGACUAUUUGCAAUUGCAAUAAUGAAUCGAAUGUGUCUGUACUACUUUCCUUUAUUCAAAGCAAGUUCGUUGAUUGUCCAAGAAAUACUAUACUAAUGCCAGUGGUUUUAAAUAUACCAGAGAAGGGUUUGUCUCGGAGAACUGGAUUCAAAAUUGUCUUUCCUACUAGUGCUUCUCAGAGUUCUUGGCGUUCUUUAUCAGUUUAUCGUUAUAUUAUCUUCUGCGUAAAGAAGACGACUAGCCUGUCCACUUUCCUGUUCUGCCUUAAUUUGGAGUUGCCAUAAAUUAUUUCAAAACUGUAAAUCAAUACUUUUUGUUUCAACUCCAAAACUAAAACACAUUCUAUACAUAAACCAAAUAUAAAACUAUAUCAACCUAAAUUCAUAUAUAACAAUAAUUCAUUGAUGGAGCAACCGAGUUUCGCUACUCCUCUAUCCCAAAACGGGUCAACUCAUAGCAAAACUCAUUCCUAAACUAAAUUAAUUAUUGAGUUGUAUAAUCAUUAUAUAUCUCAUUAGCAAAGGAUGAAGAAA